rnacentral:lncRNA from 1 species
GCUGAUUGGAAGGUUGGAGCGUUUGGGCCAAUAUGGGCUUAAGGUGGGCUAGAAAAAUAAGAUAGAGAAAGAUUGGCCCGUGGGAGUAUUAUAACCAACUCCGAUACGAGUUAUGUUUGUAAAUAUUCGUUUUCGUUUAAAAUUAGUGAUAGAUCCUAGUCAGUUAGGAAAUCAGUUGUAACAGGCUAUAAAUAGCCAUCUUUAGAGAUUUCUAAAGAACAUAUCAAUCAAUACAAACAAUCUACUUUUUCAUCGUACUUUACUUUCAAGUCGGCGACUUCGCCAAUACAUCUUUUUCUUUCACGAGUUCGUAUGGGUUGGUAGGGCUGCAUCGACACGAUCUCCGGCCGAUUCUGUAAGUUCCAUUUAUCAAGUAAUAUCUAGGCUUUAACUUCAGGCGCAUCGCUGUCGUUUUGUUUAGAUUUAUUCACAAGUUAUCGAUAUUUACUAGAAUUAUAGGUUUUAUAUAUUGGUCUAGUUUUAUCACCGGUUAUCCAGCCUGGGAUUUAUCAUUAUUAUUUUUAUUUAUCAUUAUACAGCCGAUUAGAUCUAUUUCAAUUGUUGAUUCGUAGCGUUGUCUAGUCUACUCCGGUAGAUGCCUUACAAUCGCUGUGUGAUUGUUGGCUGUUUUAUAGCCGGUCAUCUUCAUAGCAAAUCGGCCGAUUCGCUGAUACGCUUUUCGAGACAGAUUAGAAUUUUAGCCGAUCGAGAUCCCUGGAAUUUAAUACGUUUCUUUUCUUGUCAAUCAACAGGUCAGAUUGACUGGCAUGCCACGCGAACCACACUAGGGCGAUCACCCGAACAGGAGCUAAGCAGAUUCUCCCAGGUCGUGUGUCCGAUGCUGAAGGUCAUCGGCCGACUUUUAGCGCCAACACACUUUUGGCACGCCCGGUGCGACCCAUUUAAUGCCCAACAUGUCAAAAGCCAUCGAAAUCUCCGAAGACAACGUCAUCGAGAUUACGGAAGCACAUUUCAAGGAUGACUAGAAAGAAGAAUUGGCAAGGCAUGGAAGAAUACAGGAAGACAUGCUUGCAAUCUUUCAGUCGUACCAGAAGCGGGGAGACCAUCAAGAAAGUUCCUCUUCCAACUCCCCGCCAGAUCACCGUCGCUGAGGACUUGGGCAAGAUGUCCGAUAUGAUUCAACAGUCCGUUUACCAGGCCUUCAUCGACCAAUCUUCGGUGAUGACCAACACGGUAUACAAUGCCGUCAUCAGUUCCCUGGUUACCGGAGUAGCUCAAGGAUAUCAGGGGCCAGCGUACGCCCCGCCUAUUGUAACUCUAGUCAGAAGCUUACCAGGCACAUCUCACUUGGCUCCUCAGCCGUUACCAACGCAACAUGGAGGAUACAACACCUCAAUGCCUCCAGGAUACAAUGGCGCGCCAUGCUUUCAAACACAAGUGCUGUCUCAGCCUGCUCAGCUUCCCUCCGUGCAGUCGCUGCCCUCAAACUCAGUUACGGAAACUCUCCGAUCCAAGCACCGUUCCAAUCGGCUAUCCGGCCGACAGUCCCACAGUAUCAACCGGCCACGUCAGAAAUCGGCAGGGGGGUAGAUGCUACGGAAACACUCAGAAGCGCGGCGCCGAUGAUGCUGUACAAUGGGACGGCGGAUUCGCUAUGCCACCAACUGUAAUACCUGCCAUUUUAGACAUCAAAGUGACUUUGAAGAAAUGGAAGCAAUUCGUGAAGAAAAGAAAAAGAAAAUGGUCAAAAAUCAAAUUCAGGUCAAAUUUGACCGAAAUUUGAAUUUUGAAUUCGAAAUUCAGAAAAAUUCGAUAAAAAUAUGGAAUGAAGGUGUAAGGGUGAUUAGAACUCAAGGAUCAAAAUUUGGGACAAGAAUUGGUCCUGAAUACCUCAAGAAAAUCAAAGAAAGAAAAUGAAAAACAAGUUUACUGUUCCUCGUCCGACAAUAGCUGUUUCAGAAAAACAGCACAGAGUUCAUUUUUGGAAAUUGAAUUCUGUUGAAUUUUUCAAAUAAGUGGAUCCAAACAACUAUACCAUGUUAAAGUAUGGACUUUGGACAAGCAUCUUUAGGUGUUGUUGGCCAGGAACAGUGAGGGGAACAAUUUCGAAUUUGAGCUCAAAGUCAGCACAUUGUCACGGGUUGACUGUCCUGCUGAAAUUACCUAAGUCUGAAACAGCAAAAAUAGCUGAGUUUGGAGCCAAUUUCAGAGAGAUUUAGUGCAAAGCUUAUGAGUGAUUAUGGGCAAAAUGGAACCCUGGGAUGUUGUAGAACACAAUUGGGAAGAAGUUGGACUACAAGAAGAGGAGUUGGACCACCGAAAUGAUUUACCAAGCCGGGCAAAUGACCACAAUGCUUGACUGACGAAACUGAAUGGAGGGAUAAAAAGGUUGAGUCAAUUGCCCGAGAAAAAUUCAAAUUUGAAGAUUUUUGGAUGUUUAUCUCGGGCAAAGGUUUAAAUAUGAAUUGAAAAGCUCAAGAUUAUCUACAACUUUGGUUAAGACACAUAUGCACCGUCGGAUUGGAAAUCGACCGUGAUCUGGACCUGAAGUUCGGGCGCCAGAAAAACAAGAAAAGGGGGAGAUGACAGAGUUGCGCCCGACGUGUCGCCGCCGCCGUCUCCGGUCGCUCGCCAGCGCGGCAGCUACGCCACCUCCUCACCACGCAAGCCUACGAGUAGACCACGGUGUCGCCCAUGCGUGCAGUAAAACCUUCGUAUAUCUACCGUUCCCGCGCCGCCCGUUUUACUGCCGCUCUUUUCACCGCCGCCGCUUCUCUGUCCAAGCCGCCGCCGCCCAGCAAAAUUCUCCCACCACACCGCAGCUCCCGUCGAUUCCUCUCGCCCACUCCUCCAUAGACACCCCAGCUGCACCCCAGUCGAGUCGUUGUCCAACAUCCUUGCCGGUAGGCCCUGCACCGCCGCAGUUUCCGUCCGCCGUCGCCGCACCUCCUGCUUAGGGUGAGCACCUCCUUGCGCUUGCUCUCUUCCUUCUUGAGUAGUCGUGGGUAGGUCCUUGGGAUGCUAGGAUGGUGUAGCAGUAGUCGUUGGGGUAGGUUGCGCUGUCGUCGCGCGUAGCCGCGACCGGCCGUAGGUGCCGCCGCCCGCCGCCGUGGAGGGAAUGGCUCCGGCCAUCUCCCGAGGAGCUGUUGCCGCGCACGGGUGCGUGAGGGCACGGAGAUGCUUUCCCGACCUAGUCCCGCCGCCGGUAGGGCGCUGGCCGGCGAGCCACGCCGCCCCCUAUCGCUCCAGUUUUGGCGGGAGGAAGAAGAAGGUGCUGGGUGUCGGGGGCCCGCAUGUCAGAGGAGGCGGGGGAGUGAAGGAGACAGGCCGGCCGGACGCAGAGGCCAGUUGGGCCGCGGUCUCAGAGGCCCAAGUGCGCGCGCGGGUGGCCGAUGGGAAAGAAAGGCUGGAGGCCCAGAGAAUCCAGCAGGCCGGCGCUGCGGAGAAAGAAGAAAAAGAAAAGUGGGCCGUUGGGCCAUCACCGGUAAAAAGAAAAGAAGAGAGAAGAAGAAUCGGCCCAGUAGAGCCCGGCCGGGGGAGAAAUAGGCCGGCGGGUAGGAUGAAUAGGAGAAGAGGUGAGUCCACGCCACGAGCCCAGCGUAAGAGAGAGGGGGUAGAGUAGGGUCGCGUGAGAAAAGUUGCCGGGGGAGUUUUUCGGGAAAAUUUAGAUUUCCUUUAUAGAAUAAAUAGUUUAAAUCUGAAUCUCACCAUUUAAAUCACAGAAAUUUGUAGAAGUGUCCAAAAUUAGUGAAACCAAUUUUGUUAGGCUGAUUUUAUUUUCCUUUAUGCAUUAAAAUUUUUAUACCCUAGAAAAAUAAUAAAAAAAUUGGGUAUUUAUUUAAUGCCUUUCUUUUAAGGUAAUUAAAUAAAUACUUAAUCUUUAUUAAAUGCAUAAAAUAUAGAAUAACAUUUUCAUAAUCACAAAUUAUUAUUAACUCAUAGGAAAUUAGGUUUUCAAGUUAGAAAAUAAUUGUAACCUUUUCUAAAAAUAAAAGAAAGGCCUUAAGUAAGGUUAAUUAAGGAAAUAAAAAUUGUGGGCUAAUCUUUUCGGGUUUUUGUGUGUUGGCUUGCAACUUUAUCAUGAUAAAUUGUAUAGUCCUUGUUGGCUUGCAACUUUAUCAUGAAGGAAAGUUGUAUAGUCUUAUAUUCAAAAAUUUGCAUUCCUAACCCCUGCAUAUGUUGUGCUAUAGACCCCGAAGCACCAGAAGGAGAUUACUCGGAAUUUUCAGAAGGAUCUUCGGAGUUUGAGGAAAUCUUUGAAUUGGUCCCCUGCGAGGCCAACCCUUCGGACAGCGCUAACUUUUUAAGCGAACAAGGCAAGCCCCGGUGCAUUACACCUAUUAUUUUGAAGUCAAUAUUUCAUGUGUCUUGUAAUUAGUUAAUUGCUAUAUGUAUGCACUAAGUCUAGGAGUUGCUUGAAGCCCAUUCGUAUGUAUGAUCACCCUUUGUUUUAAGGACAUCUUUGCCACUUGUUCAAACCUUUAAUAGAUAACCCAAGUCUAGAAUUGCUUAGUUGCUUAAAUGCUUGGUUUACCAACCUUAAGGAAAACUUUUGAGUCAUACAUGUUAUUUAUGGAAAGAUGGCAUGGAAAUUGAGAAGCGGACAGAAGCUAGGGAUGUAGUUCUGUCUGCUAGAUUAAUUUGGUUAAGGCCUGAUUCGUUGUCUUAACCUUUGAUCAAGUGAUAAUCAUCUGAUCACUUACUGGGUAUGGGACCAGUAAAGCCCACUAGGUUAGUAAACUCUCUGAUCGGGAAUACUUCGUACCCGCGCUUGACGUGCUGGAGAUUGGCAGGGGCGUAGCCUGAAACUCACAUGGAGAUCGGGCCAGACGUGGGGUCCCAUGUGGGGGUGCGUCCCUGGGUCCGGGUAGUCUUAUUCCCAAUCAUUGGUUUUACUAACCGAAAAGUCGUUACGUACGACCUGGACAGUGUUGGGAUACGAGGUAGGCUACGCUAGCGCAAAUCAAAAUUUCUACCGCGUAUAACCAGGAAGAACUGACGUAUAAGGAUCACGGGAUUACCACUCGACGCACUACUGGUGCGGAAGAUGUAGAUAUGCGUCGAUGCAGUGAAGACGAUCACGUAGUCGUACGUAGUCGAUCAACGUAGUCGUACGUAGUCGAUCACGUCACGUCCAGCAGCUCCUCAGCAGCUGGUCCACGUGCAGCAAGAUCGCCUCCGGUGCCACGGCUCGUCGUCGGCUCGUCGUGGCUCGUCUGCGGCUCGUCGACGGCUCGUCCAAGUACGGCUCGUAUAGACAUGGCCCGAGUACUCCUACUCGGCCCAAUAGUCGGUAGUGGCCUCUAGCAAGACGUGCCAACUCCUAUACGCACACGAAGAUCAUAUCAGACGAACCAUCACAACAUAAUAUACAUGCUAUUCCCUUCGCCUCACGAUAUUUGGUCUAGCUUCAAGCCGACCGCUCUUUCUCGAUCCUGUGAUUCGGAAUCCCUUUGUAGGUUAACUCUUAACCGUACGUAGCAUGGCCAUGCAUUUUCGGAUCCGAUCACUCGAGGGGCCCAGAGAUAUCACUCUCAAUCAGAGAGGGGCAAAUCCCAUCUUGAUUGACCAUGUCUCAUAGCAUGCUUCUUGACAAACCCGAAAGCUACCUUUAUAACUACCCUGUUACGGCGUAGCGUUUCAUAGCCCCUAAGUAGGUCGAUCCACAUCUAGAAUACAUGCGACAAUCUCAGGUCUAAGGACAAAGCGUAUAUGUCGUUUAAAGAGAGAACUACUUCUCGUGUUGGGUCAGUCCUAGCACAUGUCUCCACAUGUGUCCACAUUAUUAGUUCAACAUCUCCAUGUCCAUGACUUGUGAAACAUAGUCAUCAACUAAUACAUGUGCUAGUCUAAUAUUCAUGUGUGUCCUCACAUGAACUCCGACUAGGGACAACUUUAGAAUAACCAUACAAGUAAAGAGUUUCACAUACAAUUCACAUAACUGCAAAUCAAUUCAAGUAGCCUUUAAUGGAUAUUCAAUGAACACAAUAUACAAAUCAUGGAUACAAAUGGAAAAUCAUCAUCUCUAUGAUUGCCUCUAGGGCAUACCUCCAACAGUCUCCCACUUGCACUAGAGUCAUUCUAGAAGGUACCUAAUACCCAUAGCUCUUACAUGCGCAUCAUGCUUAGCCUGCGGGAGUGGUUUUGUCAACGGAUCAGAAAUGUUCAGAUCCGUGUGUAUUUUGCAUAUCUUGAUCUCACCCCGGUUAACGAAGUCUCGAAUGAGAUGAAAUUGCCGCAUUACGUGUUUGUUCUUCUGGUGGUUCCUUGGCUCCUUUGCUUGCGCAAUUGCCCCAUUAUUAUCACAGUAGAGAUUCAAUGGGCUGGACGCAUUUGGGAACACACCAAGCUCAAUGAGGAAAUUCCUUAUCCAAACACCUUCCUUCGCGGCUUCCGAAGCCGCGAUGUACUCGGCUUCUGUCGUAGAAUCGGCCACCGUCUCCUGCUUGGAACUCUUCCAACUAACAGCACCACCAUUCAGUGUGAACACAAAUCCUGAUUGUGACUUUGAAUCAUCUCUGUCGGUUUGGAAACUAGCAUCGGUGUAACCUGUUACAACGAGCUCCUCCUCACCUCCAUAGACGAGGAACAUAUCUUUAGUCCUUCUCAAGUAUUUAAGAAUGUUUUUCACCGUUGUCUAGUGACUCUCACCUGGAUCAGAUUGGUGUCUGCUUGUCAUACUUAGCGCAUAUGAAACAUCUGAGCGAGUACUUAUCAUUGCAUACAUGAUAGAUCCAAUAGCCGAGGCAUAUGGCACUCUACUCAUGCGAUCCCGCUCAUCAGCAGUCGAAGGACACUGAGUCUUGCUGAGAUGUAUGCCAUGUGACAUAGGCAAGAACCCUUUCUUUGCCUCUUCCAUGCUGAACCGCUUCAACACUUUGUCAAUGUAAGUAUCUUGGCUUAAACCUAUAAGCCUUCUCGAUCUAUCUCUAUAGAUCUUAAUGCCCAGAAUAUAUGCCGCUUCCCCUAAGUCCUUUAUCGAAAAACUAUUUUUCAGUGAAGUCUUUACGGACUCAAGCAUAGGAAUGUUAUUUCCAAUCAGUAAUAUGUCAUCCACAUAUAAGAUUAGAAAUACUACAGAGCUCCCACUAACCUUCUUGUAAACACAUUGGUGAAGUCAAACCCUUUGACCACUUCAUCAAAACGAAUGUUCCAACUCCUAGAUGCUUGCUUCAAUCCAUAAAUGGAUCUCUGAAGCUUGCAUACCUUUCCAGCAUUUUUCGGAUUGACAAAACCCUCGGGCUGUAUCAUAUGCACAUCCUCAGCUAGGUUUCCAUUCAGGAAAGCUGUCUUGACAUCCAUCUGCCAUAUCUCAUAAUCGAAAUAUGCAGCUAUAGCUAGAAUAAUCCGAAUGGACUUAAGCAUCACUACGGGCGAGAAGGUCUCGUCGUAGUCAACUCCUUGAACUUGUCAAAAACCUUUUGCGACAAGUCGUGCUUUAUAGAUGUGAACAUUUCCAUCCAUGUCCUUUUUCUUCUUAUAGAUCCACUUGCACUCUAUGGCUUUAACACCAUCAGGUGGGUCAACCAAGUUCCAAACUUGAUUGUCUCCCAUGGACUCUAUUUCGGAUUGCAUGGCACUCUGCCAUUUUUCGAAGUCUGGGUCCAUCAUUGCUUCUGCAUAUGUCGCAGGCUCAUCAUUGUCCAACAAUAAUAUUUCCCGCAUUUCGCGGAGCCUUGCCGACCUUCGUGGUUGUGGUGGUGCUUCUCUUGCCAUGGGUAUCUCAACUUGUUCUGCUAUGUUAGCAUCACUCAUUGAUUCUUGCCCGAUCGGCUCAUCUUGAACUUCUUCAAGAUGCACUGUCUUUCCACUCUUUUCUCCUUUGAGAAACUCUUUCUCUAGGAAAACCCCGUUCCGAGCGACAAACACUUUGCCUUCUGAUCGGUUGUAGAAAUAAUAUCCCAAAGUUUCCUUUGGAUAUCCCACGAAAAUGCACUUAUCCGACUUGGGUGUGAUCUUGUCCAACUGAAGUCGCUUGACAAACACUUCACAUCCCCAAAUCUUUAGAAAAAGACAAACUAGGAACCUUUCCAGUCCAUAUCUCAUAUGGUGUCUUAACUACGGAUUUAGAUGGUACCCUAUUAAGUGUGAAAGCUGCUGUUUCUAGAGCGUAUCCCCAAAAUGACAACGGUAGGUCCGACUGGCUCAUCAUUGAUCGAACCAUGUCUAACAAAGUUCGAUUACGUCGCUCGGACACACCGUUUCUCUGAGGUGUUCCAGGCGGCGUAAGUUGUGGAACAAUUCCGCAACUCUUUAGAUGAUUGCUAAACUCGUGGCUCAAAUACUCGCCUCCACGAUCAGAUCGUAAGGCCUUAAUUUUCUUGCCACGCUGAUUUUCAACUUCAUUCUGAAAUUCCUUGAAAUUUUCAAAGGUUUCAGACUUGUGCCUCAUCAAGUAGACAUAGCCAUAUCUACUAAAAUCAUCAGUGAAAGUUAUGAAGUAUUGGAAUCCUCCUCUAGUCGUCAUGCUCAUUGGUCCGCAUACAUCAGUAUGUACGAGUUCCAACAAGUCUACUGCUCUCUCAGGAAAUCCUGUGAAAGGCGUCUUGGUCAUCUUGCCUAGCAAGCAAGCCUCACAUGUCUCGUAUGAUUCAAAAUCAAACGAAUUUAGAAGUCCAUCAGAAUGGAGCUUCUUCAUGCGCUUUUCACUUAUAUGACCCAAACGACAAUGCCACAAGUAGGUAGGACUCAAAUCAUUAGGCCGAGGCCUUUUAGCACUUACAUUAUAGACAGGUGAACCAUCAAGAUUUAAAACAAAUAAUCUAUUCACAAUGGGUGCAAAAGCCAUAAACAUAUUAUUCUUAGAGAUCACACAACCAUUGUUUUCACUCGCAAAUGAAUAACCAUCCUUCAUCAAGCAUGAAGAAGACAAAAUGUUUCGACUUAAACUAGGAACAAAAUAAUAAUUAUUCAACUCCAUAAUAAAUCCUGACGGGAGGUGGAGUUGCAUCGUCCCGACGGUCAACGCAGCAACUCUUGCAUUAUUACCCACGCGGAAAUCAACUUCACCUCUUUCCACGCUUCUACUUCUUAUCAUUCCCUGCAUCGAAUUGCAAAUAUGAGCAACCGAUCCGGUAUCAAAUACCCAAGAAUUAAUAAUUGCAUCAGCGAGAAAUAUGUUGUCUAUAACAUUAACAACAAGCGUACCUGAGGUAGAAGUACUCUUACUUCCGCCAUUCUUCAAGGAAGCUAGGUACUGCUUGCAGUUUCUCUUCCAGUGACCAAGUUCAUGACAGUAAAAGCACUCUUUGUCUGGAGCAGGUCAAGGUCCAGCUUUAACCUUGGGCGCUGGGUUUGGCUUGGACGUUCCAGCCUUGGCCUUCUUCUUCCAAGAAUUGCCCUUCUUCUUAAAGCUAGGCUUGUUCUGUAUAGCCAUCACAUGGCUGGUACUAGCGCUUUUCUUGAUGUCAGCCUCUGCUGUUUUAAGCAUGCCACACAGCUCAUUCAGACCCUUCUCCGUCCCAUGCAUAUGGUAGUUCGAGAUGAAGUUCCCAUAGCUAGGCGGAAGAGACGAAAGAAUGAAAUCAGUGGCCAACUCUUGGCCCAAUGGGAAGCCUAGCUUCUCCAACCGUUGAGUGUAACCAACCAUCUUGAUUACGUGUGGUCCUACUGUUGCGCCUUCUGCUAGCUUGCUCUCAACAAAGGCCUUAGACACAUUGAACCUUUCAGUCCUGGCCUGUGUUUGGAACAUGUCUCUAAGCGCCACGAUCAUAUCGUGCGCCUCAUGGUUUGUUUCGAACUGCAUCUGCAGCUAGGGUUCCAUGCAAGCAAGCAUAAGGUAGCUUACUUCGAGGUUAGCAUCACAUGCUUUCUUGUAAGCAUUCUUAGCAGCAGCGGGUGCAUCAUCAGCAGGUUCUUCUGGUAGUGGGUUGUCUAGAACAUCUUCCUUUUUCUCAGCCCUGAGAACAAUUCUCAGGUUACGGAUCCAAUCCGAGUAAUUUCUUCCAUUCAACUUGUCCUUCUCAAGGACCGAACGCAAAGCAAACGGUGAAGUGCUGCUAGGUGCCAUUUAAUCUACAACAAAGUAAUGCAAAAUACACUAAGACAAACGUAUCCAUGAUAGAGUAAAUCACAUUAAACUAUUUUAACAAAAUCUACUCCCACUAAAAUCAAUAUCCCUCUAUUGAAACUUAGUGAUUCAGGAUCCACAACUAACAAGUCCACUAGUGAGCUUUAGCAUCACCGCUAGCAAACAAGGUAGAUCGGUAAGCAACUUUUGCUAAUCAUAUCACAUAUGACUCCUGUGGUUGGGUGACAUCUCUAUGUCUCGGCACCCAACCUUUAUGCCCCAAGGUCCUUAACCGUUAAGAUAACCUUGUUAAGCAAACCAACCCUUAUGCGUGUAAGUGUCCGACACAAACCCGUCUAGUCAAGGAAAACUAGUGGCACCCUAAUUUCAUAGACCCACCACUAAUUGUACAAGACAUGGGACGGUGCAAGUUUUAGUUGGGAGGGCAUACUAACUUAAACUUUGCGAGGGAUCGUUCUACUUCUAACAUCACAGCAUGUAGAAAGUAAAACAUAAACAGAAUAGCAUUCACAUAGUUGUGACACAGUAUGGCCCGUUUUCAUAUGGUGAUCUCCAUCUCCACAGAACCUGUUCACCAUGGUGAUCUCCAUCUCCAUGUUCCAUGUGCGCCAUCCUCCUGGUGAUGAGUCCUCCAAGAACUAGAACAUGCUAUUACGCCUAAUAGCUAGUAAAGAAUCUAGUAAUGAAGAUUACAUAGUUGCUUGGAUCAUCACAGAUUGGUACGCAGACCAUUAAAUACAAUAAAGUGACAACACAUAUGGCUUCUGCCGUGUUGCCGUACGCGCGACACGCAGGUCACGAAUGAGUUACACACAUGCAUCACAUACACAAGGGGGCCAUACUGAUCACAAGAUACAUACAUACAUCCUGCAAAACAGAGUUAGGCGCCCUAACGUUCCAAACUUCGGAUGCCCGAAACCCCAUCUUCCAAGCCGAAUUUGGGAAAUCUAAUCUCGCCGAAAACAGCGAAGCAGUUGAAUUUCAUGUGUAACUUUUUCUGUAGAUCAAUUUUCAUAUAAAAUUCGCCUCGAUCGGAGAUCGUACCAAAAAGUUACGGCUGAUUUACCGAAGCAUACGCAUACGGCAAAAAUCCCAAACCCGGCAGUAGAUCUCAUCUACCAUUGCACAUCUAAUGCGCCUGGCGUAUGACCCUGGAUUUUGAUUCGACCAAUCAUAUUGAUCUUCGCUCACUGCAACUGGAUUUACGUGUAUCACUUAACUCCGAUGGUGGAAACUGACCGGUAGGAGUAUGUCGUUACACUACCAUUGCAGCAAGGGUACGAAAACAGGACAUAGAUCAAACGGAAAACUCGCAUAUCUCCAUAUGCACACAUCCCGAAUCCAAAACUAAGCAGCUAUGGCUCUGAUACCACUGUUGGGAUACGAGGUAGGCUACGCUAGCGCAAAAUCAAAAUUUCUACCGCGUAUAACCAGGAAGAACUGUCGUAUAAGGAUCAUGGGAUUACCACUCGACGCACUACUGGUGCGGAAGAUGUAGAUAUGCGUCGAUGCAAUGAAGACGAUCACGUAGUCGUACGUAGUCGAUCAACGUAGUCAUACGUAGUCGAUCACGUCACGUCCAGCAGCUCCUCAGCAGCUCAUCCACGUGCAGCAAGAUCGCCUCCGGUGCCGCGGCUCGUCGUCGGCUCGUCGUGGCUCGUCGGCGGCUCGUCGACGGCUCGUCCAAGUGCUGCAGGCGCAACACCUCCAAGGUAUCCACACGUGCAGGGAGGAAGCGUCACAAGCCGGACUGCUAGAUCCGCGAGUUGCAACAGGUGAGGGCGUGGGAGGCAUGGCAGGUGUGUUUCGCUAAAAGGUGUGAACCCUAGGGUGCCCCCACCCCUCUAUUUAUAGAGGUUCCUGACGGGCCUCUGGGUCCGAGGCCCAUUAGUACUUCUAAACCUAAUCCAACUCGGAUCAGAUCCGAAUUGGGCUUCCAGCCCCGUAAGUGUGUGACCCUAUGGGUUCGGAUACGUAUAGACAUGGCCCGAGUACUCCUACUCGGCCCAAUAGUCGGUAGUGGCCUCUAGCAAGACGUGCCAACUCCUAUACGCACACGAAGAUCAUAUCAGACGAACCAUCACAACAUAAUAUACAUGCUAUUCCCUUCGCCUCACGAUAUUUGGUCUAGCUUCAAGCCGACCGCUCUUUCUCGAUCCUGUGAUUCGGAAUCCCUUUGUAGGUUAACUCUUAACCGUACGUAGCAUGGCCAUGCAUUUUCGGAUCCGAUCACUCGAGGGGCCCAAAGAUAUCACUCUCAAUCAGAGAGGGGAAAAUCCCAUCUUGACUGGCCAUGUCUCAUAGCAUGCUUCUUGACAAACCCGAAAGCUACCUUUAUAACUACCCUGUUACGGCGUAGCGUUUGAUAGCCCCUAAGUAGGUCGAUCCACAUCUAGAAUACAUGCGACAGUCUCAGGUCUAAGGACAAAGCGUAUAUGUUGUUUAAAGAGAGAACUACUUCUCGUGUUGGGUCAGUCCUAGCACAUGUCUCCACAUGUGUCCACAUUAUUAGUUCAACAUCUCCAUGUCCAUGACUUGUGAAACAUAGUCAUCAACUGAUACAUGUGCUAGUCUAAUAUUCAUGUGCGUCCUCACAUGAACUCCGACUAGGGACAACUUUAGAAUAACCAUACAAGUAAAGAGUUUCACAUACAAUUCACAUAAUUGCAAAUCAAUUCAAGUAGCCUUCAAUGGAUAUUCAAUGAACACAACAUACAAAUCAUGGAUACAAAUGGAAUAUCAUCAUCUCUAUGAUUGCCUCUAGGGCAUACCUCCAACAAGCUGGUAUCAGAGCCGUAGGUUGGGAUAAUCAACAGAUAUUACUAUUUAAAAACUGAGACUCUAUUUUAAAUAAAGAAAACAUGAGUCACAGGUGGCAGUAGUAUUAACUGGUUGUUUGUUUUGCAGGUACUGACUGUUUGCUGUGUGUCGCUAGUAUUCGGUAGUAUGUUAUUAGAGAGAGAUUACGAUGCCACCAAUUUCUCUACGAGUGUGUAUAUGAGUCUGUGAGUCCGUAGGAAUCGUUGCAUCAUGUUGCAUAAGCAUGUUUUAAAAACUUUUGGGUUUGGUGAGUGCCGUUAGACCUAACCUCGUUUCUUUUAUAGGAUGUUCCAAGAAGGUUACACUGAUCAAGAUGGAUGGACCUGCGGACAUUACCUGGAUAAGCGAGGGUUUGUACAACUGCUAUGGAAGACGCUGCAGGAAUUAGGCUUUCAUAACCCUCCAAAAUAUUAUUGGAGGAAGGAGGACACGGGUCACAAACAGUACUGCACUGUUUAUGUGCAUAUUCCAGAUGAAGACACCAAUCCCAAUUGGCGUCUAGAAGAAGUAAUGGAGUCGGGCUUUGAGUUCAACGACACAAUUGAAAGGGCGGCUAUGACUGCUCUCACCGAGUUAUGUGAAAAGCACAAAGUAGAGAUAGGGUCGAGCUCUGCUCGAUUCUAUCCUAUAAAGAAUCAAGACGACGGGAUCUGGAAGAGGAGAAUUAAAGCUCUGAAGAACUCUUCUCGUGUGGAGCACGACAUCUUGGUUGCUGCUGCUUCUGACUACAUGACGGCCAUGUACAACUUACAUCAGUCUUGCAUCAGAGAGUAUUACAAUCAGAGGCAGAAAAAUGAAGAUGCCAAGAUGGAGUUAAUAGGCGCCAGACAUGAUAAGGAUUUGUACAAAAAGGCAGCAUUAACAAGAGAACACGACAUGGAGAAAAUAAUGAGGGAGCAGUCCAGAAGAAUCAACGAAUAUGAAGAGAAACUCAGGGUAAUGCAAGGAUUCAUAGAGGCCAGCAGGAGCAUAGCUGACAGGGCAAGAGAAGAAGCCGAAUCCAAUGUUAAUAGGCUUGAAGCAGAAAGAUUCCAGCAGCUGGACGGGAUCUUAUCACUUCAUCUGGCUUUGGAGGAAAUGCAGGCCCAGGUACCUGUGCAAAACAUCGUCAAUGUUCCACCGCCUCCACCACCAGAAGAACCCCAGCCACCGAACCCAGAAGAAGCAGACCAGUUAGUGGAUGUUGUAGGAGUGGAGGGUGAUAUUGCUCCACCUGCAGCUCCCGAGAUUGACCUAUACGCCCAUGAGAACUUAGAAGGGUUUGAUGUUGACAUGGAAGAUGAUCAGGGUGAAGCUCCCGUGGGAAACCAACAAUUUGCCUAGGCCAAUGCAAACGCCGAUGGGCUAGAUCCACAAGGCUACGGGCCAAUGCAACAGUGGGGAGAAGCGGAGCAAGAAGACGAGGAAGAAGAGGAAGAUCCCGAAGAGAUGGAGGGAAAUUCCGGAGUUAGUACCUCUGCAUCCUACACUUCUUACACUUCGAGCGACCCCGGGCCGGAAUCAGGAAGUGAGAACUCAGUGAAUCAGGCCCCACCUGUCGCUCCUCCGGGACAGACGCUGAUGACAGUAGACCAAGAUAUUCUGCAAGCAGCAAUGGCUCGACUAGGACUGAAUGCCAAAGAACUAGGCAUCUACCCUUACGAUGGUUGAAGCGAGACCUUAACUGAGAGGUGUUGUUGUAAUGUAUUUAUGUAAGAUACAUGUGAUGGAUGGAGUAGCACGGUGGUAGUGUAAAAAGUAACUUCAAGUCAUGUACUAUAAAUAAAUAUGUAUAUAAGUGUGGUUUAUGUAUGGUCAUGCUGUGAUGUGUGAAAUAUUAGUGUGCAGGGAACUAUUGGUAAAAUGCACCUUAGAUAUUAAUGUUCUGUUUACUUUUGGCAGCAUGACAGAUCCAAGAGGUCAACAAGCUUCAGGGUCAGGGGGCCAUGAGGAGAAUUUACCGAGAGCUCCAACGCUGGCCGAUGCUAUAGCCAGCCUUAUGAACUCAGGGGCCGAACAGGCUCGGUUACUUCAAAUGAUCGUGCAAAACACCGGUAAUGGUGGAAAUCGACGGGAUCCAGAGCGGGGUGUAUCCUACACCCAGUUCCUGGAGACUCGUCCUCCAAUAUUUUUGAAGGCUGAGCAUCCCCUUGAAGCUAACGAAUGGCUUCAAACGAUGGAACAGAAGUUUCGAGUAAUUCCCCAGUGCACUACCACUCAAAAAGCGGAGUUUGCAGGACUCCAGCUCCAAGGUCCCGCUGGGACCUGGUGGACUAGCUAUCUGGCUAGGCAACCAGUUGGAAGGGAGGUUACAUGGGAGAACUUUAAGGAAGCCUUCAGGACACAGUUUGUGCCAGAAGGUAUCAUGCGGAUGAAACUGGAGCAAUUCUUAGGGCUACAGCAAGGGAACCGCAGUAUUCUUGAGUAUACCAAUGAAUUUGACCACUUAGCCCAAUAUGCACUGGAACAUGUCAAUACCGAGUCCAGAAAAAGAGAUUGUUAUCUUCGUGGGCUCAAUGCAAGAAUGCAGGAGAAGCUGUCCACCUGCACUUUUGCCGACUAUAGCUCUGCGGUAAGUACAGCCAUUACCGCAGAAGAAAAGAUGAGAAUCCUAGAUGAAACCCUAAGGAAAGAAGAAGCUUUGAAAAGGAAGAAUGUUCCUUUUGGAACCUUCGGGAGUGCCCCAUAAAGAAUGAAGGUGGUAUAUCGAGGUCCUCCUCGACCCAUGUAUCAACCUUCGUUUCAGCAGAGGCCCUUCCAGCCUUGGAAUGUUAGAGCUCCCAGUAAUGCUCCUCAUCCUGGAAAUGCGCCACCUCUCGGGUUUCGUAACCCUACUUCUCCAGGAAAUCCACAGGUUUGUUUUAACUGUGGAAAGCUGGGACACUUUGCCCGGGACUGUCGUUUUCCCAAGGUUGGGGGAAACGCAAAUUUAAGGGCUCAAACCUCUGGUCAAGGCACUGGGCAGAAGUUUGUCCGUCGUAAGUUUGUGAACACCAAGACAGGACAGGCUCAUUAUAUGAACAUGGAGGAAAUUCUAGAAGGAGAGCCUAUUCUGGCAGGUAUGUACUUUGUUAACAAUUAUCCUACCAUGGUUUUAUUUGAUUCGGGUGCAUCACAUACUUUUAUAAGUAAAAGGUUUGUUAUGCAACACCAACUAGAAGUACACACCUUAAAUGUCAAAUAUGCUAUUCAAGCUACUGGGGCUACAUAGAAUACAAAUCAAGUAGCUCACAAUGUGAUUUUGAACUUAGAAGGAAAUAAGGUGGGCGCUUAUCCUUUAAUUCUGGAAGAUCAAGGAAUAGAUAUUAUUUUGGGGGUAAAUUGGAUGAAGGAACAUAAAGUUCAAAUUGAUAUGGAUAAUCGGGUCGUUAGUAUGAAAGAUGACCAAGGCCACCCUUUUGAGCUCCAAUUACCCGCUCAUCCUUGUUUAGACCAGAUGGUCAAAAAGACUAGAGCAGUGACUCUAGAAUCUAUUCCUGUGGUUAAUAAGUUUAUAGAUGUGUUCCCAGAAGAUCUGCCUGGACUACCGCCUGAUUGAGCGGUAGAGUUUACCAUUGAGUUAGAACCGGGCACUGCUCCUAUCUCGAGAAGACCGCAUCAAAUGCCACCUAAGGAGUUAGCAGAAUUAAAAAUACAACUCCAAGAAUUGUUGGAUAAAGGUUUUGUUCGACCUAGCACUUCACCAUGGGGCUGCCCUGCUCUAUUUGUUAAAAAGAAGGAUGGCACAUUAAGGUUAUGUGUGGAUUACCGCCCUUUGAAUGCGGUAACCAUUAAAAACAAGUAUCUGUUGCCACGGAUUGACUUGUUGUUUGACCAAUUAGCUGGAGCCAAGGUCUUUUCAAAAAUCGACCUUCGGUCUGGAUACCAUCAGAUUAAGAUAAAACCCGAAGACAUACCUAAAACAGCCUUCUCAACCCGAUAUGGACUGUAUGAGUACUUGGUUAUGUCUUUUGGACUAACAAAUGCCCCAGCGCAUUUUAUGUACCACAUGAAUUCGGUGUUUAUGCCAGAGUUAGAUAAAUUUGUGGUCGUCUUAUAGACGAUAUCCUUGUCUUUUCUAAAAAUGAAGAGGAACAUGCGCAACACUUGCGUAUUGUUCUAAAUAGACUCCGGGAACACCAGUUGUAUGCCAAGUUCAGUAAAUGUGAAUUCUGGUUAAAGAAAGUUCCAUUCCUUGGGCACAUAUUGUCCGAAAAAGGAAUUGAAGUAGAUCCCGGAAAGGUCAAGGACAUAUUGGAUUGGAAAUCACCAACCUCCGUACAUGAAGUAAGAAGUUUCUUGGGAAUGGCCGGCUAUUACCGUUGGUCCAUCCCCAAUUUCUCAAAAAUUUCCAAACCAAUCACAGAGUUAUUAAAGAAAGAAGUGAAAUUUGAGUGGAAACCUGAAUGUGAAGAAUCGUUUCAAGCCUUAAAGAAGUUGCUGACUACAGCUCCAGUGCUAGCUCAACCUGAUAUAGAGAAGCCCUUUGAUGUGUACUGUGAUGCCUCAGGAACAGGCAUAGGGUGUGUUCUUAUGCAAGAAGGUAGAGUUAUUGCUUAUACUUCACGUCAACUAAAGCGUCAUGAAGAGCAUUACCCUACCCAUGAUUUAGAGCUUGCUGCCGUAGUGCAUGCAUUAAAGAUAUGGCGACACUAUCUUUUGGGUAGUGAAUGUCGUAUCUUUACUAACCACAAAAGCUUGAAGUACAUCUUUACUCAAAUGGACUUGAACAUGAGGCAAAGACGGUGGCUGGAACUGAUUAAAGACUAUAAAUUAGAAAUCCACUAUCAUCCUGGUAAGGCUAAUGUGGUGGCCGACGCCUUGAGAAGAAAGGCCCAAUGCCACUGCACUACCGUCCAGUCUAACCUUAAGACCUUAUGUGAGGAAAUGAAAGAUUUAAAUUUGGAAAUAGUAAAACAAGGUACCCUUCAGAGUAUUAUGGUACAAGAUACCCUAAAGGAAAGAAUUAUAACAGCCCAAAAAGAAGAUCCAUGGAUUAAGAUACUCUAUCAACAAAAAGCAGAAGGAAAGAUCCCCGAACUCAAUCAAGAAGAAGAUGGAGGGCUGUACUUCAAGAAAAGGAUAGUAGUUCCUAAGGAUGAGAGCCUAAGAAAGUUGAUCUUGGAAGAAGCACAUCUGUCUAAGUUCGCUAUUCAUCCCGGAAGCAAUAAAAUGUACCAAGAUUUAAAGCAAAGGUUUUGGUGGGCCAAGAUGAAACCUGAAAUUGCAAGGUAUGUAGCCGAAUGUGAUACUUGCCGGAGAGUUAAGCCCAUACUACAAAGUCGGAAGGUUUACUUCAACCUUCAGAAAUCCGUGUUUUGAAAUGGGAAGAUAUUUCCAUGGACUUUAUAGUUGGAUUACCUACCACUUCAAAAGGAUAUGAUUCCAUAUGGGUUAUUAUCGACCGCCUUACUAAGUCAGCUCACUUUAUCCCAGUCAAGACUACCUAUCCAGUGUCGAUAUAUGCUAAACUCUAUAUAGCCUGGAUCGUAUCCUUGCACGGAGUACCAAAGACAAUUAUCUCUGAUCGAGGCUCCCAGUUCGUUUCCAGAUUUUGGGAACAAUUACAAAAGGACAUGGGCACUACUCUAAUUAGAAGUUCUGCCUAUCAUCCUCAAACUGGAGGACAGACAGAAAGGGUUAACCAAAUCUUGGAAGGCAUGUUAAGAGCAUGUGUCCUUACCUUCUCUAAGCUAUGGGACGAAUGUUUGCCCCUAGCCGAGUUCUCCUAUAAUAAUAGCUAUCAAGCUAGCAUUAAAAUGGCACCUUUCGAAGCCCUCUAUGGUCGAAGAUGCCGAACCCCUUUGAAUUGGUCAGAAGUAGGAGAAAUGACACAUUUGGGAUCAGAUCUGGUUAUGGAAACCGAGGAAAAGGUCCAGAAAAUUCGCAAACAUUUGGAAAUAGCCCAGUCUCGACAAAAGAGUUAUUCGGAUAAAAGGAGACGGUCCUUGGAAUUUCGUACUGGAGAUUUUGUAUACUUGAAGGUAUCCCCGAUGAAGGGAGUACAACGAUUUGGAAUAAAGGGUAAGUUAGCUCCAAGGUAUAUUGGUCCUUAUGAAAUUCUGGAACGAAAGGGUCCAGUGGCAUACAAGCUAUCAUUACCAGACCAACUUACUUCUAUACAUGACGUAUUUCAUGUAUCCUAGCUUAAGAAGUGCUUAAGAGUUUCAGAAGAAAUUCUUGAAGAUCCAGAAAUUGAGCUUGAACCAGAUCUAACCUAUGAGGAAAGGCCUAUUAAAAUUCUGGAUCAAAAGACAAGAGAUACCCGAACUCGGAGUAUUACGUUUUACAAGGUACAAUGGAAAAAUCAUACUCCAGAUGAAGCUACUUGGGAACAGGCUGAAAACCUAGAGUCUAAAUAUCCUGAAUUAAUUGAAACCGUCAGGAACAGAUGAACAGAAGCCACCACCCCACUAUCCUUGUACAGAAAAGAGAAAAAUAGUUGACCUGACGCAGUUUCCUUUCCAUUCUCAAAGCUGAAGAUUUAACCCCGGGAAUCUCGGGACGAGAUUCUGUUAAGGGGGGAAAGGCUGUAAUACCUGCCAUUUUAGUCAUCAAAGUGACUUUGAAGAAAUGGAAGCAAUUCGUGAAGAAAAGAAAAAGAAAAUGGUCAAAAAUAAAAUUCGGGUCAAAUUUGACCGAAAUUUGAAUUUUGAAUUCGAAAUUCAGAAAAAUUCAACAAAAAUAUGGAAUGAAGGUGUAAGGGUGAUUAGAACUCAAGGAUCAAAAUUUGGGACAAGAAUUGGUCCUGAAUACCUCAAGAAAAUCAAAGAAAGAAAAUGAAAAACAAGUUCCUCGUCCGACAAUAGCUGUUUUUUGGAAAAACAGCACAGAGUUCAUUUUUGGAAAUUGAAUUCUGUUGAAUUUUUCAAAUAAGUGGAUCCAAACAACUAUACCAUGUUAAAGUAUGGACUUUGGACAAGCAUCUUUAGGUGUUGUUGGCCAGGAACAGUGAGGGGAACAAUUUCGAAUUUGAGCUCAAAGUAAGCACAUUGUCACGGGUUGACUGUCCUGCUGAAAUUACCUAAGUCUGAAACAGCAAAAAUAGCUGAGUUUGGAGCCAAUUUCAGAGAGAUUUAGUGCAAAGGUUAUGAGUGAUUAUGGGAAAAAUGGAACCCUGGGAUGUUGUAGAACACAAUUGGGAAGAAGUUGGACUACAAGAAGAGGAGUUGGACCACCGAAAUGAUUUACCAAGCCGGGCAAAUGACCACAAUGCUUGACUGACGAAACUGAAUGGAGGGAUAGAAAGGUUCACUCAAUUGCCUGAGAAAAAUUCAAAUUUGAAGAUUUUUGGAUGUUUAUCUCGGGCAAAGGUUUAAAUAUGAAUUGAAAAGCUCAAGAUUAUCUACAACUUUGGUUAAGACACAUAUGCACCGUCGGAUUGGAAAUCGACCGUGAUCUAAACCUGAAGUUCGGGCGCCAGAAAAACAAGAAAAAGGGGGAGAUGACAGAGUUGCGCCCGACGUGUCGCUGCCGCCGUCUCCGGUCGCUCGCCAGCACGGCAGCUACGCCACCUCCUCACCACGCAAGCCUACGAGUAGACCACGGUGUCGCCCAUGCGUGCAGUAAAACCUUCGUAUAUCUACCGUUCCCGCGCCGCCUAUUUUACCGCCGCUCUUUUCACUGCCGCCGCUUCUCUGUCCAAGCCGCCGCCGCCCAGCAAAAUUCUCCCACCACACCGCAGCUCCCGUCGAUUCCUCUCGCCCACUCCUCCACAGACACCCAGCUGCACCCCAGUCGAGUCGUUGUCCAACAUCCUUGCCGGUAGGCCCUGCGCCGCUGCAGUUUCCGUCCACCGUCGCCGCACCUCCUGCUCACGGUGAGCACCUCCUUGCGCUUGCUCUCUUCCUUCUUGAGUAGUCGUGGGUAGGUCCUUGGGAUGCUAGGAUGGUGUAGAAGUAGUCGUUGGGUUAGGUUGCGCCGUCGUCGCGCGUAGCCGCGACCGGCCGUAGGUGCCGCCGCCCGCUGCCGUGGAGGGAAUGGCUCCGGCCAUCUCCCGAGGAGCUGUUGCCGCGCACGGGUGCGUGAGGGCACGGAGAUGCUUUCCCGACCUAGUCCCGCCGCCGGUAGGGCGCCGGCCGGCGAGCCGCGCCGCCCUUUGUCGCGCCAGUUUUGGCGGGAGGAAGAAGAAGGUGCUGGGUGUCGGGGGCCCGCAUGUCAGAGGAGGCGGGGGAGUGAAGGAGACAGGCCGGCCGGACGCGGAGGCCAGUUGGGCCGCGGUCUCGGAGGCCCAGGUGCGCGCGCGGGUGGCCGGCGGGAGAGAAAGGCCGGAGGCCCAGAGAAUCCAGCAGGCCGGCGCUGCGGAGAAAGAAGAAAAAGAAAAGUGGGCCGUUGGGCCGUCACCGGUAAAAAGAAAAGAAGAGAGAAGAAGAAUCGGCCCAGUAGAGCCCGGCCGGGGGAGAAAUAGGCCGGCGGGUAGGAUGAAUAGGAGAAGAGGUGGGUCCGCGCCGCGGGCCCAGCGUAAGAGAGAGGGGGUAGAGUAGGGUCGCGUGAGAAAAGUUGCCGGGGGAGUUUUUCGGGAAAAUUUAGAUUUCCUUUAUAGAAUAAAUAGUUUAAAUCCGAAUCUCACCAUUUAAAUCACAGAAAUUUCUAGGAGUGUCCAAAAUUAAUGAAACCAAUUUUGUUAGGCUUGUUUUAUUUUCCUUUAUGCAUUAAAAUUUUUAUACCCUAGAAAAAUAAUAAAAAAAUUGGGUAUUUAUUUAAUGCCUUUCUUUUAAGGUAAUUAAAUAAAUACUUAAUCUUUAUUAAAUGCAUAAAAUAUAGAAUAACAUUUUCAUAAUCACAAAUUAUUAUUAACUCAUAGGAAAUUAGGUUUUCAAGUUAGAAAAUAAUUGUAACCUUUUCUAAAAAUAAAAGGAAGGCCUUAAGUAAGGUUAAUUAAGGAAAUAAAAAUUGUGGGCUAAUCUUUUCGGGUUUUUGUGUGUUGGCUUGCAACUUUAUCAUGAUAAAUUGUAUAGUCCUUGUUGGCUUGCAGCUUUAUCAUGAAGGGAAGUUGUAUAGUCUUAUAUUCAAAAAUUUGCAUUCCUAACCCCUGCAUAUGUUGUGCUAUAGACCCCGAAGCACCAGAAGGAGAUUACUCGGAAUUUUCAGAAGGAUCUUCGGAGUUUGAGGAAAUCUUUGAAUUGGUCCCCUGCAAGGCCAACCCUUCGGACAGCGCUAACUUUUUAAGCGAACAAGGCAAGCCCCGGUGCAUUACACCUAUUAUUUUGAAGUCAAUAUUUCAUGUGUCCUGUAAUUAGUUAAUUGCUAUAUGUAUGCACUAAGUCUAGGAGUUGCUUGAAGCCCAUUCGUAUGUAUGAUCACCCUUUGUUUUAAGGACAUCUUUGCCACUUGUUCAAACCUUUAAUAGAUAACCCAAGUCUAGAAUUGCUUAGUUGCUUAAAUGCUUGGUUUACCAACCUUAAGGAAAACUUUUGAGUCAUACAUGUUAUUUAUGGAAAGAUGGCAUGGAAAUUGAGAAGCGGACAGAAGCUAGGGAUGUAGUUCUGUCUGCUAGAUUAAUUUGGUUAAGGCCUGAUUCGUUGUCUUAACCUUUGAUCAAGUGAUAAUCAUCUGAUCACUUACUGGGUAUGGGACCAGUAAAGCCCAGUAGGUUAGUAAACUCUCUGAUCGGGAAUACUUCGUACCCGCGCUUGACGUGCUGGAGAUUGGCAGGGGCGUAGCCUGAAACUCACAUGGAGAUCGGGCCAGACGUGGGGUCCCAUGUGGGGGUGCGUCCCUGGGUCCGGGUAGUCUUAUUCCCAACCAUUGGUUUUUGUGACGACUGACCCCUAAAACCUUCCAAGUUAAUCUUGAUCGGAGCCCUUGAUCAUAGCCAUUUGUCUUGUUUUACCGCGCCGAGUGCUCAGCCUUCAGCCGAUUCCGACCCCGGAGACCCGACCCCUCUCCGUUUCGCUCCUCUCCCGACCCCGGCGAGCUCAGCCCACCGUCAGAUCGUGCUAAUCUUCCUCAAAUGUCCGUUCUAUCCACCGGUGGACCCGCGAGAUCUUUUUCCCCGAUCCUCCGCGACAGGCGCACUCGAGUUGCAUGCCCGCUUCAGAGUCUCCCUGCCGCGUGGCUCGUCUUCUCCGACGCCCGCCGCUCGGUUUUGUCUCUGGCUCGCGACCAAGUGGGUUCUCGCGUCCCCUUCCCCAAUGGCAGCGGAAGCCCCUCUGCAACCUUUCUGCAGUACCUCACCUCCCGCGCCCAUCAUCACGCCGCCAGAUCCCGGCCCCAGAGCCCGAUGUCGCCCGUCUUUUCCGUCACUUCAACCACAGUCGCGCCGCCUGGUCUCCGCUACACGAUGAUUCCCCCAUCGCCAACCCCGACCGCGGCAGCGACAGCUCCUUUCCCCGCCCUGUCAGAAGCCGCCCGACAAUCUGUUGCUCCGCGCUCGCCCGCGCGCCCGCGGCUGCCUGUCUUCUCACCUGUGCACCCUCGAUUCUAGCGCCGUUAAACCGGUCGCUUCUAUCAAAUCUUCCGCACGGAGACGCCCGCUUUCCGCCAAAUCUCAACCACCGGUCUACCCGCUCCUACGCCGCCCUGACGGCAGAACCCAAUGAUCGCUGGCGUCACCCCCGGAGUCCUGCACCACCGCCCUCUUCGCGCAAUCGCCGCCCCGGCAGAGCACUCCAUUGCUUCUCCCCGGCCUUCGCGCCGCUCCCCUUCUCUCUCUCCCGCGCUGCUUCCUUUCUCCGCUCCAGCAGCUAUAAAAGGAAUGCACCAGCCGCCGGAGUUCCCUCCGCCAUUGUUGCCUUCAGCCAUUUUUCUCUCGCUCCCUGCUCAAGAUCCUAGCGCCACCCACCAAGUCCUUGAGGAGCUCUUCUCUCAGAUUCUCCCUCAGUUUUCUCCAAGUCACCCAGCCGCUUGCUCCACCGUGCUGCGUAAAAGCUGUCUCGAGAUCUGCAAGAAGCAUCGCCGCCGCCGGAGUAUUGCCGGUCUUAGCCUUUGUUCAAAGCCUUAGUCCCUCCGCCCAAGUCUGCCUCUUCCCAACCCCAAGCUUUCCUUUCAGGAAGAAGGUGAGUUGCCGACCCUAGUCCGCCUCGCCCGACCCCUCUUAUCCGCCCGACCCCGGUUCCGUCUCGCCCAACCCUGUCUGUUCCGCCGACCCUUAUCCGCCUCGCCUGAGAGUUCGGCUGUGAUCUUUUCUUCAUUCCGAGGGUGUAUGUGUAAAUUUAGGAACCCUUCAGCGCUGUGUCUGAGGAUUCCUAGUAUAUCACAUCCUCUAGUUCAAGGAUCAGAUCAUAAGUUCCUUUCCUACCCUUGCUUUUUGAUCUUCACCAGCUCUCUUGAACCUCCAGACCCUCCUGCUCUUUGUCGCGAGUUUCUGGGCUCAGGCGAGCCAGUGUUGCUGUUGAAAUAACCGUCUAUGUUAACCUUUGCAUUGCAUUCGUGUAGAGCUGCACCUUGCCGACGGCUUCUACGAGCUACACCCGGCGCCAGAAGAAGAAGGUGUAGCCGAGCUCCUGCCCGCUGAAGCUGAAGUCGCCCCAGAAGUCGAGCAGUUUCCUUCCUCUUUGCUCGAAGGCAAGCCCCGGUUGCAUGAAAACCCUAUGUGUUUUACCAGACUUGCGCAUGCCUUCUGUAACAUGCUUGUGCAUUUACGUAUAGGAGUUGUUUGGAACCCUAGAUGCAUGACUUAGCUCCCCAUGUUUUGAACACUAGCUGUUGGACCGAGUAGUGGCGUUGCUUAACUAGGAGACGGUAAAAGCCGAGUGAUUUCCUGUCACUCGCGAGUUGUAGGAGUUGCAUGUUUACUCUCCUGUUAUAACUAUAAGGACGAGGGACGGGGCAGGGUUUUGGUAACUCUUUGGUGGAUGGAUGGUUGCCCCGUCUAUCUAUGAAAUCUUGCUAAGGCCCGAUAGUGGUGGUGUUCGUGAUCAAGUGUUUGAAAGUACUAGCCUCAUACUUAGUAUGGGAUGAGGAAGCUUAGUACCGGAUUGAACCUAGACGUGAGCGGUCGCCCCAUUGUUCUUGGAACGGAGUUUCCCCUGCGAGUUGUCGCACGUGGUGGCAAGCGUGGUCACAGGACGGCAGAGGCCGGGUCUGUGGAACCUUGCACCAAAGGAAAUAGCCCCGACAUGGGUUAGGGGAUUGAUGGGGAAGGCCGACAUAGGAAGCGACCUCCGGGUGCGCGGAUGUCGUGAGGCUAGGUUCACCAUGCAUGGUUAAAGAACUCGAAUCGAUUCGUCUACCUCUCACAGUUUGAGAUUGCUUGAUCGCUAUGUCACCCUGAGUAAAUAAGGAAUCUGAUGAUGGCAUGUUUGUUGAUAUAUCUAUACAUCUUGUUGGGCUCUAUGAUUGCUUAGAAUAGGUUGCAAAACCUAGACCGGCUAAUGAACUUAGAACCGGAGCUAAAACUUAAAAAUAAGGUUCUACUUAGUGCUUUGGCAAACAAACCCCUCAGCCAAAAGCCUUGCAUGUCUAGAAGUGUGGAGUAGUUUUACUCCUAUCGGUUAAGUCUUGUUGAGCUUAGCAGCUCAGCCUUGUUCUGGCUCCUGUUUUCAGGUGAAGCUGCUGCUUCCGACCCCUCUCUUGCUGGCGCUUGGCCACCCCAGCUCCCGCCGGGCUGGACGGUCGAGUGGGAUCCUUCCUCGGACGGCGAGGAGAGGAAUCAGUGAUGUCCCGGUUGGCCUCACCAGGGAUGUCCGACCCCGACGAUUGCUUCCGCUAGUGGUUUUACCUUUUGUUAUUUUUUUUUCCUUGGAACCCUGUAAAACUCUGAUGUUGGAUUUUAUGGCCGAACUAAAUGAGUAAACUUGUUUGACUCAGUGGACUCGUUGUAUUCUCUGGAACCACUUACCUUCGUGUGGGUUUGCUAAACUCGAUCCUGUUCAAGUGGUUAAAUCGGAUGAAAUCCAACGGCACUUCGUGUUAACUUGGGUUAGGCAGGAGUGUCGCAUGUUAGGCGGCUUAACCCUGUUUAAUCAAGCUAACCCGAGGUGGAUACGCCACAGCUGGUAUCAGAGCCGUGUUUAGCAUUACAGAGAACACAACAAGCCCUAAACACUUCUUUGAAAGGAUAAAAGUUGCAAGAAAUUUUUGAAAAAUCUCGUACGAUCGUUAAGGAUAGCUUUAGUGCGAGAGGCCCUAGGGGAUUUUGGGGUUGUUUUAGGUGACUAAUAACUACUUGGUUAUCCUGCUAACCCUCCAGCACUUCGCCACGUCUAUCAUACGUGUGCCGAGUUCCGCAUCACGAGCAUGCGAAGGUUGAUAGGGAGUUCCAUUCAAAGGACCCUAUCCUCGUGGUUGUUUUCGCCCACGUCUAUCACACGUGCGCAGGUUCCGUAUGUACUCCAUACGAAGGUUGGUACAGUUCGAUUCCAACGAACCUAUCAGCACGGUUGGUUCGCCACGUUUGUCAUACGUGUGCUGAUUCCGCAUCACAAGUAUGCGAAGGGUUAUAUGGUUCCAUUCAAAGGGAACCUAUUUCCACGGUUGAGUGCUGUCCAUGCAGCCUUAAACGCAUGGGUGCCGUUCCUAUAGUGAGCGGUAAUGUUUGGGAACGCUUUCGUGGGUGCUGGCACGAAAGGUUCGUGUGUGGUGUUUUCUGCAGGUACGCUAACCGCGUUCAUUUAGGAGACGUUGUAGAACCGACUAGUUAUUAUAGGGAGAGACGUAAUGGUUGCCUUGUCACCGGCACUGACCGCGUAAGACCCGAGUUCGGGCAGUUGUUUUUGGUUAUGUGUAAGGUAGGCCGUGCAUGCGUCAUAUCUAAAAAGUUGUAAGGUUUCCUUCUCAACAGCAACCUUGUUCGGAAGAGUUCUUUUGGAUCUAAGGAUUUCUAGUUUCUUUUGGUUGCUCUUGGUCAAAACCGUAUGCUUCUCUAUCCGACCCCUGAUCCUUGGAGUCUAUCUCACGUGAUUUUGGUUCUUGGUUCCAGAUGGCUGUUCCCGGGCAUGUUCUUUUUGGAGCGGACGGUACUUUCCAAUCGACGUGUCUGCAUUUCGAGGGAUUCCCUACGAUUCUGUGGGAUACGUUGAAGUGGUUUGGAUACCAGUCCCCACCCUUGUACGCCCGACGGUUAUAUCUGGAGCAGGGUAUCCAGACGUGCCAAGUGCAGGCGGUGGUACCUCCUCCCCCUGUACGGCCCGACUGGCCCUCUUUUGGCAUUAUAGCCUAUGGUCUUGCUCCUGAGGAUACAUGGGAGUCUGCCGCCCUUCAGCUUCUCACCCAGUUCUGCCAACUGCAUCCCUUGGAGAUCACGCUCGACCCGAUCGGCCUUUUCCCCGUCAGGAACCGGCUGGACCCGGCAUGGCUUGACCGCGUCGGGAACAUUGAGGUGCUAGCCACCACAUGCGCCAUGGUCACCAUCUCUACCAAUGUCAGGUGCAUGGCAGCUCUUUACCGGCUGAUAGAGCUUCAGGGGAGAGCCAUGACCCUCUUCGCCCGGACAGCAGCAGAUGUCCACGGGUACCUCCAAGCGGCACGAAGAGAUAUGGUAGGCCAAACCUACCAGCUUAUUCAACGGGGUAUCCAGAUCCAUGACAUGCAAGACCGGAUCUCCGAGCUUGAAGGAGAAGUCGCCGACCUCGUGGACGGCAUGAUAGAGCUAUCAGAGGAGAAGAUGGAGAUGGAAAUGGAGUUGGCAGUUGCCAAUGCCCAUUUGGAGGAGCAUCAAGCUGAGCUCGAAGAUAUGCAUGCCCUCAACAUGCAGCUCGAAGCUCAAGAGGACCCUGAGGAAGACAAAGGAGCGUCCAGCAUGGAUAUCGAGGAAGAUGGUGCCCCUUCUCCGACUCAUAGUGUCCAUUGGUAGAUUGAGGGUUCCCAGGGAAUCAUUCUUGUUGUACUCCUCGGCAGCCUAAGUUUUGGAAAGGUUGUAAUAGGUUAGCCUAGAGUUGAGUACUCCCUGUGAUUGGAACACCGUUGUAUAUAAAGUCCAUUCUGGUGCCUGGCUUUUCAUCUUUGUAUGGUGUGGAUGCUAGGUUAAGUAAGUUGCGCCAUGGCCAUAUGCUGUUUUUAGGGGAGCCUGAUCAGUUGGCCGACCCCAGUUUGCGAGACAGAGUGCGCCGACCCCUGAGGCAGUUUCCGCCUCGUCCGACCUUUUUUUAGGUAUAGAUCGUUGCCGACCCCUUUUUAUCGGUAGGAUCACCUAACCUGACCCCUUGGCUUGAGUUGGAUCAUAGGAGUCUGUAGGUGACAUGUUUCGCCUGAAGUUGAGUACAUGGUCGAGAUAGAUGUUAUCUACGCCGAGAAUGAGAAAAGUGUGUUUUCUCUAUGAGGACGUGUGUUGCACCAUUGGCGAGAGUCGCAUUAAAGGAUUUAAAUUAUACGUUCCAUUUGUGGGAAUACACCUAAGGUUAUGAAAUUAAUGGAGCGUUAACUCUUGCAGAUGGCGCACCGCACCAGGUCUGGUUCUGUGCCCGGCAGUAGCGAUCAGCGACAGGAUCUUCCCCCGUCCCCGCCCUCAUCGCCACUGGAGGCGAUCUUAGCACCUCAAACUGAGCUGCUAAGGCAUCUGGUACAAGGGCAACAGCAACAGCCACAUGGUGGAAGAGCUCAACAGCAGCCGCAUGUCGCUCGGUAUGAGGACUUUCUGGGGACACAGCCCCCUUUGUUCCAAAAGACACAAGAACCGCUCGAUGAUGACGCCUGGGUUCGUACGAUCGAAUCCAAGUUUGAGCUUCUCACCGCCCCGUGCCCCGACAACAACAAGGCUCGGUUUGCAGCCCAACAGCUGCGUGGCUCCGCACGGCUUUGGUGGGAUCACUACCAUGCCAUGCUGCCGGCUGGCCAUGUAGUCAGUUGGAAUGAGUUCAAGACGGCGUUCAAGGCACAUCACAUUCCAGAAGGUCUCUUGGAGCGCAAGCUCAACGAGUUUCUAGCCCUCACCCAAGGAACCCGAGAUGUGCUGCAUUACGCUCAAGCUUUCAACGACCUGUGCCGUUAUGCUGGCUACCAUGCGGACACGGAUGAGAAGAAGCGGGAUAGAUUCCGCCGAGGACUGAGCUUGGAGCUCAGGGAAAGGUUGAACCCCAUCAAGGUGGACACCUACAAUGAGUUGGUCAAUCUGGCCAUUUCUCAAGAGGAUUGCAUGCAAGCUCUCAAGGCCGACCAGAAGAGGAAAGCCUCUGUGGCAUUUCCGAGUCCGCCGACUCGAAGGUUCCGGAUGGUUCCUCCACAAGCCCCUGGUCGACCCCAGCAGUCAGGAAGGUGGAUUGCCCAACCCCCACCAGUAACAGCGCCUCGUUUUCCAGGCUUCCAACCGCAGGUGCCCCGGCCGACCCUGCCAACACCACCCCGCCCGGUAGCCAGUAACUGUUGUUUUACCUGCGGCAAUGAAGGGCACUUUGCAAAGGACUGCCCCAGGAACAAGAAUCAACAGCAAGGUUAGAACCCCAUGGCAGCCAGAGGAAGAAGGCCCAAGGUGCAAGUCCGACAAGGCCGACUCAACUACACCAGCUUGACUGAGCUCCCCGAAGGUGCGCCAGUAAUGACGGGUACUUUCCUCGUCUUAAAUAAAGUUGUUGUUGUGUUGUUUGAUUCGGGAGCCUCUCAUAGCUUUAUCGGGAGUAAGGCUAGGGAAAGAUGUGGGCUAAAUGUCGGACACACUAAGGAACCUUAUGUGAUCGCCACUCUUGGAGGAAGGAUAACAUCGGAUCAGAUUGUUAUUCUUGUACCUCUCCAGCUAGGCCCCACCCUCUUCAAGGAAAACCUUAUCAUCCUUGACCUAGAAGGCAUAGAUGUCAUCCUUGGCAUGGAUUGGAUGGCCCGACAUCAUGUGGUUCUAGAUACAGUAGCCCGAUCCCUCUGCAUCGGCUCACCCUCCCAUGGCAGUUCUACCCUAUCCUUGACCCAUCCUGAGUCUACGUUUCCCUGUGCCUACCCUCUAUCGGGAGCCCGUCUAGAAGACCUCCCUGUUAUCUGUGAGUACCCUGACGUGUUUCCUGAAGACUUGCUGGGUCUGCCACCUGAUAGAGAAGUGGAGUUUUCCAUAGAGCUGAUUCCUGGCACCACACCAAUAUCUAAGAGACCCUAUCGGAUGCCACCCGCUGAGUUAGACGAGUUGAAGACCCAGUUGCAUUAUCUGUUGGAAAAAGGCUUCAUCCGCCCCAGUACAUCAUCUUGGGGUUGCCCUGCCCUGUUUGUGAAGAAGAAGGAUGGCAGUCUACGUAUGUGUGUGGAUUACCGACCCCUCAAUGUUGUGACCGUCAAGAACAAGUACCCACUGCCACGCAUUGAUGUCUUGUUUGAUCAGUUAGCCGGAGCAAAAGUGUUCUCCAAGAUCGAUCUUCAUUCUGGUUAUCACCAAAUCAGGAUUCGACCCUGUGACAUACCCAAGACAGCUUUCUCUACCAUAUAUGGACUGUACGAGUACCUAGUCAUGUCCUUUGGACUCACCAAUGCACCCGCCUAUUUCAUGUACCUCAUGAACUCGGUAUUCAUGCCCGAGCUGGACAAGUUCGUAGUGGUGUUCAUCGAUGAUAUCCUAGUGUACUCGAAGAGCGAAGAAGACCAUGCCGACCAUCUUCAUCUAGUUCUCCAACGGCUAAGAGAUCACCAACUCUAUGCCAAGUUCUUCAAGUGUGAGUUCUGGUUGGAUAGUGUCAAGUUCUUGGGACACACUAUCUCCAAGGAUGGUAUCGCCGUUGACCCCAGUAAGGUGCAGGAAGUCAUGGAGUGGAAGCCUCCUGCCUCAGUGCACCAGAUCAGAAGUUUCCUUGGACUGGCCGGCUACUAUCGGCGUUUCAUACCGGAUUUCUCUAAGAUAGCUAAGCCGAUGACCGAGUUGUUGAAGAAAGAGGUCAAAUUUGUGUGGGACAACAAGUGUGAAGAGGCCUUCAAGACCCUGAAGCACUUGCUGACCACAGCCCCAGUUUUGGCUCAGCCCGACCCCUCCAGGCCGUAUGACGUAUACUGUGACGCCUCUGGCACUGGACUCGGAUGUGUUCUUAUGCAAGACAAUCGAGCCAUUGCCUAUGCCUCACGGGCGUUACGACCUCAUGAGCUGAGUUACCCAACCCAUGACCUAGAGCUAGCAGCAGUGGUACAUGCCUUAAAGAUAUGGAGACUGCAACAUCUACACCGACCACAAGAGCCUCAAGUACAUCUUCACCCAAGCCGACCUCAACAUGCGCCAGAGAAGAUGGUUGGAGUUGAUAAAGGACUAUGAUUUGGAAGUUCACUAUCAUCCCGGCAAGGCCAAUGUGGUAGCCGAUGCCCUUAGUCGCAAGCACCAUUGCAACUGCUUAUUGUCAACAGCCUUCACCAAGACUCUGUGUCACGAGAUGGGAAAACUCGGUUUGGAGAUUAUUUAUCAAGGAACCCUUGGUCACAUCAUCCUUGACUCAGUUUUGGAAGACCAAAUCCGGUCAGCACAAGUAAGAGAUAAGGAAAUACAACGGAUCAUCAGUAAGAUCUCAGUAAAGGAUGAGGGAUAUAAGCAAUUCCGACAGGACAAAAUGGGAGGCGUGCAUUACGGAAACCGACUAGUUGUACCCGCCGACCCCGAGCUGAGGAAGAAAAUCCUAGAUGAAGCUCAUCUCUCCAAGUUCUCAAUCCAUCCUGGCAGCACUAAGAUGUACCAUGAUCUCCGUCAAACCUUUUGGUGGAGUGGAAUGAAGCCGGAAAUAGCUCGGUAUGUUUCAGAAUGCGACACCUGUCAACGCGUCAAAGCCAGUCAUUUAAAGGUAGCAGGAACCCUGCAACCGCUACCUAUUCCCUCUUGGAAAUGGGAAGACAUCAGCAUGGAUUUCAUAGUUGGAUUGCCCCUUACAUCACAACGAUAUGAUUCCAUCUGGGUUAUAGUGGACCGUCUGACCAAGACCGCACACUUCCUCCCUGUUCGCACCACCUACACCGUCAAGCAGUAUGCAGAGUUGUACCUCGACCGCAUAGUUUCCCUACACGGGGUACCCAAGACCAUCGUUUCUGAUCGAGGAGUUCAGUUUGUGGCACGUUUUUGGGAGCAACUACAAGCAUCCAUGGGCACCAAGCUCAUCCGAAGCUCAACAUAUCAUCCUCAAACCGAUGGCCAAACCAAGAGAGUCAAUCAGAUCCUCGAAGACAUGUUAAGAGCUUGUGUUAUCCACUAUGACAAGAAUUGGGACAAGUGUCUGCCCUUAGCAGAAUUCUCCUACAAUAACAGCUACCAGGCCAGUUUGAAGAUGGCACCGUUCGAAGCCCUGUAUGGCCGGAGAUGCCGGACACCCUUGAACUGGUCCCAACCCGGAGAAAGACAGGUCUAUGGCCCUGACUUGGUGGCAGAAGCCAAAGAGCAAGUAAAGGUAAUUCAAGCUAAUCUCAAGGCUGCCCAAUCUCGACAGAAGAGUUACUCCGACCGGCGGAGAAGACCCCUGCAGUUCAACCUUGGUGAUCAUGUGUACCUUCGAGUCUCCCCGACCAAAGGAGUGCAACGGUUUGGAGUAAAAGGCAAGUUAGCUCCCCGUUAUGUUGGCCCUUAUGAGAUUGUGGAGAUAUGUGGACCCGUUGCUUACCGGAUCCAACUCCCAGAACAGCUAUCGGCCAUACACGAUGUUUUCCAUGUGUCUCAACUGAAGAAAUGUGUCUGAGUUCCAGCAGAGAUCUUAGAGCAAGAACAGCUUCAGAUAGAACCCGACCUGACCUACGCCGAGUACCCCGAUCGAGUUCUUGACCAGAAGGAAAGGCACACCCGACGCCAAGUGAUAAAGAUGUACAAAAUCCUCUGGAGAAACCACACCGAAGAUGAAGCAACAUGGGAAACGGACGAGUAUCUGAACAAGGGCUUCCCAGGUUUUCUAUCUCGUCAAGGAGGUAAAAACGGCACCUCGCUUUUUGGAUGUCCGAAUCUCGAGACGAGAUUCUUUUUAAGAGGGGUAGGCUGUGACGACCGACCCCUAAAACCUUCCAAGUUAAUCUUGAUCGGAGCCCUUGAUCAUAGCCAUCUGUCUUGUUUUACCGCGCCGAGUGCUCAGCCUUCAGCCGAUUCCGACCCCGGAGACCCGACCCCUCUCCGUUUCGCUCCUCUCCCGACCCCGGCGAGCUCAGCCCACCGUCAGAUCCUGCUAAUCUUCCUCAAACGUCUGUUCUAUCCACCGGUGGACCCGCGAGAUCUUUUUUCCCAAUCCUCCGCGACAAGCGCACUCGAGUUGCAUGCCCGCUUCAGAGUCUCCCUGCCGCGUGGCUCAUCUUCUCCGACGCCCGCCGCUCAGUUUUGUCUCUGGCUCGCGACCAAGUGGGUUCUCGCGCCCCCUUCCCCAGUGGCAGCGGAAGCCCCUCUGCAACCUUUCUGCAGUACCUCGCCUCCCGCACCCAUCAUCACGCCGCCAGAUCUCGGCCCCAGAGCCCGAUGUCGCCCGUCUUUUCCAUCACUUCAACCAUAGUCGCGCCGCCUGGUCUCCGCUACACGACGAUUCCCCCAUCGCCAACCCUGACUGCGGCAGCGACAGCUCCUUUCCCCGCCCUGUCAGAAGCCGCCUGACAAUCUGUUGCUCCGCGCUCGCCCGCGCGCCCGCGGCUGCCUGUCUUCUCACCUGUGCGCCCUCGAUUCUAGCGCCGUUAAACCGGUCGCUUCUAUCAAAUCUUCCGCACGGAGACGCCCGCUUUCCGCCAAAUCUCAACCACCGGUCUACCCGCUCCUACGCCGCCCUGACGGCAGAACCCAAUGAUCGCUGGCGUCACCCCCGGAGUCCUGCACCACCGCCCUCUUCGCGCAAUCGCCACCCCGGCAGAGCACUCCAUUGCUUCUCCCCGGCCUUCGCGCCGCUCCCCUUCUCUCUCUCCCGCGCUGCUUCCUUUCUCCGCUCCAGCAGCUAUAAAAGGAAUACACCAGCCACCGGAGUUCCCUCCGCCAUUGUUGCCUUCAGCCAUUUUUCUCUCGCUCCCUGCUCAAGCUCCUAGCGCCACCCACCAAAUCCUUGAGGAGCUCUUCUCUCAGAUUCUCCCUCAGUUUUUUCCAAGUCACCCAGCCGCUUGCUCCUCCGUGCUGCGUAAAAGCUGUCUCGAGAUCUGCAAGAAGCAUCGCCGCCGCCGGAGUAUUGCCAGUCUUAGCCUUUGUUCAAAGCCUUAGUCCCUCCGCCCAAGUCUGCCUCUUCCCGACCCCAAGCUUUCCUUUCAGGAAGAAGGUGAGUUGCCGACCCCAGUCCGCCUCGCCCGACCCCUCUUAUCCGCCCGACCCAGGUUCCGUCUCGCCCGACCCUGUCUGUUCCGCCGACCCUUAUCCGCCUCGCCCGAGGGUUCGGCUGUGAUCUUUUCUUCAACCCGAGGGUGUAUGUGUAAAUUUAGGAACCCUUCAGCGCUGUGUCUGAGGAUUCCUAGUAUAUCACAUCCUCUAGUUCAAGGAUCAGAUCAUAAGUUCCUUUCCUACCCUUGCUUUUUGAUCUUCACCAGCUCUCUUGAACCUCCAGACCCUCCUGCUCUUUGUCGCGAGUUUCUGGGCUCAGGCGAGCCAGUGUUGCUGUUGAAAUAACCGUCUAUGUUAACCUUUGCAUUGCAUUCGUGUAGAGCUGCACCUUGCCGACGGCUUCUACAAGCUACACCCGGCGCCAGAAGAAGAAGGUGUAGCCGAGCUCCUGCCCGCUGAAGCUGAAGUCGCCCCAGAAGUCGAGCAGUUUCCUUCCUCUUUGCUCGAAGGCAAGCCCCGGUUGCAUGAAAACCCUAUGUGUUUUACCAGACUUGCGCAUGCCUUCUGUAACAUGCUUGUGCAUUUACGUAUAGGAGUUGUUUGGAACCCUAGAUGCAUGACUUAGCUCCCCAUGUUUUGAACACUAGCUGUUGGACCGAGUAGUGGCGUUGCUUAACUAGGAGACGGUAAAAGCCGAGUGAUUUCCUGUCACUCGCGAGUUGUAGGAGUUGCAUGUUUACUCUCCUGUUAUAACUAUAAGGACGAGGGACGGGGCAGGGUUUUGGUAACUCUUUGGUGGAUGGAUGGUUGCCCCGUCUGUCUAUGAAAUCUUGCUAAGGCCCGAUAGUGGUGGUGUUCGUGAUCAAGUGUUUGAAAGUACUAGCCUCAUACUUAGUAUGGGAUAAGGAAGCCUAGUACCGGAUUGAACCUAGACGUGAGCGGUCGCCCCAUUGUUCUUGGAAUGGAGUUUCCCCUGCGAGUUGUCGCACGUGGUGGCAAGCGUGGUCACAGGACGGCAGAGGCCGGGUCGUGGAACCUUGCACCAAAGGAAAUGGCCCCGACACGGGUUAGGGGAUUAAUGGGGAAGGCCGACACAGGAAGCGACCUCCGGGUGCGCGGAUGUCGUGAGGCUAGGUUCACCUUGCAUGGUUAAAGAACUCGAAUCGAUUCGUCUGCCUCUUACAGUUUGAGAUUGCUUGAUCGCUAUGUCACCCUGAGUAAAUAAGGAAUCUGAUGAUGGCAUGUUUGUUGAUAUAUCUAUACAUCUUGUUGGGCUCUAUGAUUGCUUAGAAUAAGUUGCAAAACCUAGACCGGCUAAUGAACUUAGAACCGGAGCUAAAACUUGAAAAUAAGGUUCUACUUGUUGGAGGUAUGCCCUAGAGGCAAUCAUAGAGAUGAUGAUAUUCCAUUUGUAUCCAUGUUUUGUAUGUUGUGUUCAUUGAAUAUCCAUUGAAGGCUACUUGAAUUGAUUUGCAAUUAUGUGAAUUGUAUAUGAAACUCUUUACUUAUAUGGUUAUUCUAAAGUUGUCCCUAGUCGGAGUUCAUGUGAGGACACACAUGAAUAUUAGACUAGCACAUGUAUUAGUUGAUGACUAUGUUUCACAAGUCAUGGACAUGGAGAUGUUGAACUAAUAAUGUGGACACAUGUGGAGACAUGUGUUAGGACUGACCCAACACGAGAAGUAGUUCUCUCUUUAAACAACAUAUACGCUUUGUCCUUAGACCUGAGAUUGUCGCAUGUAUUCUAGAUGUGGAUCGACCUACUUAGGGGCUAUCAAAUGCUACGCCGUAACAGGGUAGUUAUAAAGGUAGCUUUCGGGUUUGUCAAGAAGCAUGCUAUGAGACAUGGUCAAUCAAGAUGGGAUUUGCCCCUCUCUGAUUGAGAGUGAUAUCUCUGGGCCCCUCGAGUGAUCGGAUCCAAAAAUGCAUGGCCAUGCUACGUACGGUUAAGAGUUAACCUACAAAGGGAUUCCGAAUCACAGGAUCGAGAAAGAGCGGUUGGCUUGAAGCUAGACAAAAUAUCAUGAGGCAAAGGGAAUAGCUGUUGGGAUGCGAGGUAGGCUACACUAGCGCAAAUCAAAAUUUCUACCGCGUAUAACCAGGAAGAACUGCCGUAUAAGGAUCACGGGAUUACCACUCGACGCACUACUGGUGCGGAAGAUGUAGAUAUGCGUCGAUGCAGUGAAGACGAUCACGUAGUCGUACGUAGUCGAUCAACGUAGUCGUACGUAGUCGAUCACGUCCAGCAGCUCCUCAGCAGCUCGUCCACGUGCACAGCAAGAUCGCCUCCGGUGCCGCGGCUCGUCGUCGGCUCGUCGUGGCUCGUCGGCGGCUCGUCGAUGGCUCGUCCAAGUGCUGCAGGCGCAACACCUCCAAGGUAUCCACAUGUGCAGGGAGGAAGCGUCGCAAGCCGGAUUGCUAGAUCCGCGAGUUGCAACAGGCGAGGGCGUGGGAGGCGCGGCAAGUGUGUUCAGCCAAAAGGUGUAAAACCCUAGGGCGCCCCCACCCCUCUAUUUAUAGGGGUUCCUGAUGGGCCUCUGGAUCCGAGGCCCAUUAGUACUCCUAAACCUAAUCCAACUCGGAUCAGAUCCGAAUUGGGCUUCCAGCCCCUUAAGUGUGUGACCCUAUGGGUUCGGAUACGUAUAGACAUGGCCCAAGUACUCCUACUCGGCCCAAUAGUCGGUAGCGGCCUCUAGCAAGACGUGCCAACUCCUAUACGCAUACGAAGAUCAUAUCAGACGAACCAUCACAACAUAAUAUACAUGCUAUUCCCUUUGCCUCACGAUAUUUGGUCUAGCUUCAAGCCGACCGCUCUUUCUCGAUCCUGUGAUUCGGAAUCCCUUUGUAGGUUAACUCUUAACCGUACGUAGCAUGGCCAUGCAUUUUCUGAUCCGAUCACUCGAGGGGCCCAGAGAUAUCACUCUCAAUCAGAGAGGGGCAAAUCCCAUCUUGAUUGACUAUGUCUCAUAGCAUGCUUCUUGACAAACCCGAAAGCUACCUUUAUAACUACCCUGUUACGGCGUAGCGUUUGAUAGCCCCUAAGUAGGUCGAUCCACAUCUAGAAUACAUGCGACAAUCUCAGGUCUAAGGACAAAGCGUAUAUGUUGUUUAAAGAGAGAACUACUUCUCGUGUUGGGUCAGUCCUAACACAUGUCUCCACAUGUGUCCACAUUAUUAGUUCAACAUCUCCAUGUCCAUGACUUGUGAAACAUAGUCAUCAACUAAUACAUGUGCUAGUCUAAUAUUCAUGUGUGUCCUCACAUGAGCUCCGACUAGGGACAACUUUAGAAUAACCAUACAAGUAAAGAGUUUCACAUACAAUUCACAUAAUUGCAAAUCAAUUCAAGUAGCCUUUAAUGGAUAUUCAAUGAACACAAUAUACAAAUCAUGGAUACAAAUGGAAUAUCAUCAUCUCUAUGAUUGCCUCUAGGGCAUACCUCCAACAAUAGCAUGUAUAUUAUGUUGUGAUGGUUCGUCUGACAUGAUCUUCGUGUGUGUAUAGGAGUUGGCACGUCUUGCUAGAGGCCGCUACCGACUAUUGGGCCGAGCAGGAGUACUCGGGCCAUGUCUAUACGUAUCCGAACCCAUAGGGUCACACACUUAAGGGGCUGGAAGCCCAAUUCGGAUCUGAUCCGAGUUGGAUUAGGUUUAGAAGUACUAAUGGGCCUCGGAUCCAGAGGCCCGUCAGGAACCUCUAUAAAUAGAGAGGUGGGGGCGCUCUAGGGUUUACACCUUUUGGCGAAACACACCUGCCGCGCCUCCCACGCCCUCGCCUGUUGCAACUCGCGGAUCUAGCAGUCCGGCUUGCGACGCUUCCUCCCUGCACGUGUGGAUACCUUGGAGGUGUUGCGCCUGCAGCACUUGGACGAGCCGCUGACGAGCCACGACGAGCCGACGACGAGCCGCGGUACCGGAGGCGAUCUUGCUGCACGUGGACGAGCUGCUGAGGAGCUGCUGGACGUGAUCGACUACGUACGACUACGUGAUCGUCUUCACUGCAUCGACGCAUAUCUACAUCUUCCGCACCAGUAGUGCGUCGAGUGGUAAUCCCGUGAUCCUUAUACGGCAGCUCUUCCUGGUUAUACGCGGUAGAAUUUUUGAAUUGCGCUAGUGUAGCCUACCUCGUAUCCCAACACUACUUAGUGCUUUGGCAAACAAACCCCUCAGCCAAAAGCCUUGCAUGUCUAGAAGUGUGGAGUAGUUUUACUCCUAUCGGUUAAGUCUUGUUGAGCUUAGCAGCUCAGCCUUGUUGUGGCUCCUGUUUUCAGGUGAAGCUGCUGCUUCCGACCCCUCUCUUGCUGGCGCUUGGCCACCCCAGCUCCCGCCGGGCUGGACGGUCGAGUGGGAUCCUUCCUCGGACGGCGAGGAGAGGAAUCAGUGAUGUCCCGGUUGGCCUCACCAGGGAUGUCCGACCCCGACGAUUGCUUCCGCUAGUGGUUUUACCUUUUGUUAUUUUUUUUCCUUGGAACCCUGUAAAACUCUGAUGUUGGAUUUUAUGGCCGAACUAAAUGGGUAAACUUGUUUAACUCAGUGGACUCGUUGUAUUCUCUGGAACCACUUACCUUCGUGUGGGUUUGCUAAACUCGAUCUUGUUCAAGUGGUUAAAUCGGAUGAAAUCCGACGGCACUUCGUGUUAACUUGGGUUAGGCAGGAGUGUCGCAUGUUAGGCGGCUUAACUCUGUUUAAUCAAGCUAACCCGAGGUGGAUACACCACAGUUUUACUAACCGAAAAGUCGUCACGUACGACCUAGACAGUCGUAUAUAACUAGUGAUCAGGGUACUCUCCUGCAGGAUGUAAUAUGAUCCGGAUCGCUGCAAUUCUCGGUUAUGAAUGCACUUGAUCACUGUUGAGCAUCGUAGUAUAAAUCCAUGAAUGUUAUAUCCUUCUGAUAAUGAUUGAUGUAUGACUUAAUACCUUAUUUUUUUGCAUUUAAUCUUUUCUCAUCAUCUAGAAUGGUUAGGUAACAACUUAACCCAAAUAAACGAUAAAACUAAGGCAUCACUUGUAGUAAGCUUUUCGGCAAAAUGUAUCAGCCCAGUACACCAAAAAGCUAUCAUGUACUUCCAAGAAAAAUUAUUAUUAUAUUGGUUAGUCGGGUAAGACUUGCUGAGUACACUGUACUCAGGGUUAUCCCUUGUGGCUAUCUUUUCAGAAGCACCGCAGGAGUCCACCGAGGAGGAAGCCCCGAAACCCUAGGGUAUUGUUAUGAGUCUCACAAUACCCUUAGAAGAAGUUCUAUAAUGCUCAUCUCCACCUGAACCGUUUGUGUUUUAAGUCCUAGAACUCUGUCUAACACUGCACUAUUAAGUUUGCUUCAAACUAUGUCUUGUAUUAACUCGUACCUCUUAUAUGUAUGUAAAAAUGUAAUAUUUGUUGAUGCUAUCCCAUCGCGGAUACAAUCCUGAUGUAUGGCUAUGAGACUCGAUGUGGAUCUUUCGAGGAGUCCUAGGGACACUCGACGGACGACCGGACUUGUACUGUUUUAAGUGCGCUUCGGAUAAUUGCUGCGUCGGCAGUAAUUAGGCGCAUUUAAACCAGUUUAAGUUGGACGGUUCCGCCACACCAACUGUCAACCGCUCAGCCGGCCACAUUGCCGCAAAAUCUGCCGCAUGCUUUGAUCCAUCACCCGGCCAUCCCACCGCCGAUCCAUCAACAUGUGCCGAUCCCUCAACCAGUCGUUCAUCAGCAGCAAGUGGAUUGGACAGCAAGGAUAGCAAAGGUGAUUCAAGAUCAAUUCAGGUUAAAGCUGAAGGUACAAACCUAUACGUACAAAACACCGUACCCGCCCGCCUACGACUUAUUGCCGUUUCCCCAUCGGUAUAAAGUUCCCGACUUCAACAAGUUCUUGGGGCUGGAUGAUACCUCAACUGUGGAGCACGUAAAUAGAUUCAUCAUCCAGUGCGGGGAGGCCGCCACACAAGAUGCUCUGUGGGUAUGUGAUAGAGUCGGAGUGCCCGAUCUUUCGGUGAGUGGAGAUAAAUUCGAUUUGGUGGAAGUAGACCCUCACGAUCCGACUACGACGAGCGAACCCGAAGCGCCAAUGCAAUCGCUGAACCAACUCCCGAUGGUUACCAACCUCGCCGGUGCGAGAUCAGCCUGAUCACGAAGAUCAAUUCCUGUCUGCAAUCGAAGAACGAACAAGAAAAAGAGGCGAGCAAUCUAAAUAUCACUCGAAGGUGGAGUUCUGAAUCACACAAGGACAGCGCGUAUUUGCGCGUGUUCAAGGGUAGCUAAAGCUAGAUGUAAAACAAAACUCAAGUCGUAAACAAAAAGGACUCGGACUAAAUAAAGGGGGCGCAGCCCCUGGAGUCCGAAGGGGUCACGGCGCCCAACCCUAGGCGCCCCACCUGGGCUGCCCUGUUGGGCCAUCUUCUUAUUCCGAUGGGCCUUCGUUCCUUAACAGCAUGAUGAAGUUUAAUUCUCUCGCACGGGCUCGAGUGAUUGGCCCAACUGGAUGAGCAACUGUAGGCGCCUGAGGUGGAGGAGCAACUGGAGGCGCCUGAGGUGCUGCUGGUGUAGAUGUACUCGUGGUGUCCUCAUCAUCCUCCCCUUCUUGAACUGAAGUCGUCCUCGACGGCAACUCCUCAUCUUCGCCCACAUACGGUUUCAAAUCUGCAACAUUAAAACUCGUGGAAACACCAAACUCCGCAGGCAGGUCAAGGAUAUAAGCAUUAUCAUUAAUCUUGGUUAGCACUUUAAAAGGACCAGCAGCACGUGGCAUCAAUUUAGAACGACGUAAGGUAGGAAAACGAUCCUUCCUCAAAUGCAACCAAACCAGAUCACCCGGUGCAAAAGUAACAUGUUUUCUCCCUUUACUACCCGCAACCUGAUAUUUAGCAUUAGCAGCAGCAAUGUUUUGUUGAGUUUGCUCAUGCAAGCGAAUCAUUUGAUCAACAUGUGCAGCGGCAUCUAUGUGUGGGGUGUCCUCGGCAUCAAGUGCAAACAAAUCAAUAGGCGCCCGAGGAAUAUAACCAUAAACAACUUGAAAAGGACACAUCUUUGUAGAAGAAUGCGUUGCAUGAUUAUAAGCAAACUCAACAUGAGGCAAGCAAUCUUCCCAACGUUUCAAGUGUUUAUCUAAAACAGCCCUAAGCAUAGUGGACAAGGUUCGAUUAACCACCUCAGUUUGUCCAUCAGUCUGAGGGUGACAAGUGGUGCUAAACAGCAAUUUAGUUCCCAUUUUAUUCCAUAGUGAUCUCCAAAAAUGACUGAGAAACUUAGCAUCACGAUCAGAGACUAUUGUAUUUGGAAUACCAUGCAAACGAAUAAUCUCGCGAAAGAACAAUUCAGCAACAUUGCUAGCAUCAUCAGUCUUAUGACAAGGUAUAAAAUGAGCCAUUUUGGAGAAACGAUCAACAACCACAAAAAUACUGUCCCUCCCCUUCUUAGUUCUAGGCAAUCCCAAAACAAAGUCCAUAGAAAUAUCAAGCCAAGGGAAAGUAGGAACAGGCAAAGGCAUGUACAAACCAUGGUUGUUUAAUCGUGACUUAGCUUUCUGGCAAGUAGUGCAGCGGGCAACAAGGCGCUCAACAUCAGCGCGCAUCCGGGGCCAAAAGAAGUGGGCAGCCAGCACUUCAUGCGUCUUGUAGACGCCAAAGUGCCCCAUGAGACCGCCUCCAUGCGCUUCCUGUAACAACAAACGACGAACCGAGCUAGCUGGAACACACAGCUUGUGAGCGCGAAACAGGAACCCGUCCUGUAUGUGAAAUUUGCCCCAUGGUUUGCCAUGAAUACAGUGGGCGAAAGCAUCUUUAAAAUCAGCAUCAUCCACAUAUUGAUCCUUCACAGUUUGCAAGCCAAAGAUUUUAAAAUCUAACUGUGACAGCAUGGUAUAGCGACGAGACAAAGCAUCAGCAAUGACAUUUUCCUUCCCGCUCUUGUGUUUAAUAAUGUAAGGGAAAGACUCAAUGAAUUCUACCCAUUUAGCAUGACGACGGUUCAGGUUUGUUUGGGUACGAAUAUGUUUUAAAGCCUCAUGAUCAGAAUGAAUUAUAAACUCGCGAUGCCAAAGGUAGUGCUGCCAAGUAUGCAAAGUGCGCACUAAAGCAUAAAGCUCCUUAUCAUAAGUAGAAUAAUUCAAGCUAGCACCACUUAAUUUCUCACUAAAGUAAGCAACUGGUUUUCCUUCUUGUAACAAAACAGCACCUAGCCCAAUACCGCUAGCAUCGCAUUCAAGCUCAAACACUUUAGUAAAAUCAGGCAACUGCAAGAGAGGAGCAUUGGUUAACUUAUCUUUCAAGGUGCUGAACGCAACCUCUUGCGAAUCACUCCAAGCAAAGGGAACAUCCUUCUUUGUAAGCUCAUGUAGAGGCGCUGCAAUGGAGCUAAAAUCACGAACAAACCGGCGGUAGAAACCUGCAAGGCCAAGAAAGCUUCGAAUUUGUGUGACCGUCGUCGGUGUAGGCCACUCCCGAAUGGCAUCAAUCUUGCUGCUAUCCACCUCAAUGCCCUGUGGAGUAACAACAUAGCCAAGAAACGAGACACGUUGUGUGCAAAACAUGCAUUUUUCGAGGUUAGCAAAUAAAUGGGCCGCACGCAAUGCAUCAAAAACAGCACGCAAAUGUUCUAAAUGCUCUUCCAUAGACUUGCUGUAAAUGAGGAUAUCAUCAAAAUAGACAACUACAAACAAUCCGAUGAAGGGCCUCAGAACUUCAUUCAUCAAACGCAUAAAUGUGCUGGGAGCAUUUGUCAAACCAAACGGCAUAACCAACCAUUCAUAUAACCCAAAUUUCGUUUUAAAAGCCGUUUUCCAUUCAUCACCUAAUUUCAUGCGAAUCUGAUGGUAGCCACUACGCAAAUCAAUCUUAGUGAAAAUAAUGGCACCACUAAGCUCAUCUAGCAUAUCAUCAAGGCGUGGUAUAGGGUAUCGGUAGCGAAUGGUAAUGUUAUUAAUAGCACGACAGUCUACACACAUACGCCAUGAGCCAUCUUUCUUUGGAACAAGUAACACAGGAACGGAGCAAGGGCUAAGAGACUCACGAAUAUAACCCUUGUCAAGCAACGCCUGUACCUGGCGCUGGAUUUCCUUCGUCUCAUCCGGAUUUGUACGGUACGGUGCGCGGUUCGGAAGCUGUGCGCCGGGAAUGAGGUCGAUCUGGUGCUCAAUGCCACGAAGUGGUGGAAGUCCCGGUGGCAAAUCUUUUGGAAAGACAUCAGCGUACUCCUGCAAAAUGUUAGCAACCGCAGGGGGAAUAUCCAAAGAUGGUGCAUCAUCAAGUGAAACGAGCACACUAGAGCAUAUAAGGACAUAGCAUGGCAAAGGAGCAUCGCGUAACUCAUCAAAAUCAGCACGUGUGGCAAGCAAAACAGGAGCAUUCAACUUGAUUUCAGAAUUAAGAGAUGUCGAUGGUUCAAGUUGUUUAGCAGUUUUCGCAGCUCUAGCAAGAUCAUCUUUAAGAAUUUGUUCAGGUGUCAUUGGAUGUAUAAUUAUUUUCUGACCCUUAAACAUGAAAGAAUAGUGAUUUGAACGACCAUGAUGCAAGCUAUCAGUAUCAUAUUGCCAAGGUCGCCCAAGUAACAGAGAGCAUGCUUCCAUGGGAAUAACAUCACAAUCGACAAAAUCAGAAUAAGCACCCAUGGAGAAAGGAACACGGACUGAUCGAGUAAUUCUAAUUUUCCCACCAUCAUUAAGCCAUUGAAUGUGAUAUGGAUGUGGAUGCUUACGAGUGGGUAAAGACAACUUUUCAACCAGCGUGGUACUCGCCAAAUUGUUGCAGCUGCCGCUGUCGAUGAUGAUGCGAAUCGACCGCUCCUGCACAACGCCCUUGGUAUGGAAAAGAGUGUGUCGCUGAUUCUUCUCGGACGGUGCGACCUGUGUACUAAGAACACGCUGCACAACAAGACUUUCAUACCUAUCGGCGUCACCCGGGUUGACAUGUACCUCCAUAGCUGCAUGGUCAGUGGCAAGCAUCGCAUGUCGAGUAUCUUCAGAAUCACUAGCGGAAGAGUACUCACCAUCAUCACGAAGAAGCAAAGUGCGCUUGUUCGGACAGUCCCGAAUCACAUGGCCAAAUCCUUUGCAACGAUGACACUGAAUAUCCCGUGUACGGCCUGUGGGAGGGGCGGCGCCUGUGGAAGGGGCAGCGCCUGUGGAAGGGGCAGCGCUUGCAGGUUUGGCCGUUCGCUCGCGCGGUGUAGUGGUGGGCGUGGGUGGCGCAGGGAGAGCGGGUGCGGAGUUGGAUGUCGAGCUUCUUCCUGCAAAAGAGUUAGAAUAUGUCUUCGAGCGGCGUCCCUGCACUUCACGUUCAGCUUUGCAAGCAUAUUCAAAUAAUGUUGUCAUAUCUGUGUAGUCCUUAUAAUCAAGUAUAUCCUGAAUUUCGCGGUUCAAACCACCACGAAAACGUGCCAUAGCAGCAUCGGUUUCCUCCAAUAACCCACAACGAAUCAUGCCUAUUUGUAAUUCCUGGAAAUAUUCCUCAACAGAUUUGGAACCUUGCUGAAAACGUUGCAUUUUAUUAAGCAAAUCGCGAGCAUAAUAAGAAGGCACAAAUCUGUGGCGCAUAGCAGUUUUUAAUUGCUCCCAAGUGGUUGGAAUGGUAUUGGGAUGUUUGUGUUUAUAUUCACGCCACCAAAUUAAAGCAAAAUCAGUAAAUUCACUAAUAGCAGCUUUAACUUGAGAAUUAGCAAGAAUAUCAUGGCAUGAAAAUUUCUGUUCAACUUCUAAUUCCCAAUCAAGAUAUGCAGCAGGAUCAUAUUUGCCAUUAAAAGGUGGGAUUUUAAAUUUAAUCUUGGAAAAGGAAUCAUUACCACCGGAACGGCGUGGCACGCGGCGGGCACGGCCUCGGCGGUCGCCAUCGUCCUGGUCCGAGUCACCACCAUAACCCUGCUGCAACUCUGCGACUGUAGUGUGCAAUGCAUCGAGUCUUGCCACAACUGAGUCGAGUGUGGCCUUAGCGGCCGUCUGUGCAAGGUCGAGCUGAUCACACCGCUCGGUCGUCGAGGAGAUCGUCGAGUCCAGCCGUUCAUGAAUCGUCUGAAUGUCGGUGACAAGCCCUUCAACUUGCGCCCGUAUGCCCUGCAGCUGGUUAGCCCCCGCGUCGACAUCAUCUGCCAUGGUUAGCGCAAAGACAAGAACACAAGCGACGACAAAAUAGGGGUGUAACAGCUCACAAGGUGCUCACACUAGUGCUGUUAUCAAAUUCUUAUCCGUUCUUACCACGCACACAGGGGCGAACUGCAACCAACUGGUGGAACUCACGAAAGAUUGGAGGAGCGAUUGCCUGGAGAAACAAAAUAUGCUCGUCGUAGAACUAUGUGGAGUUCUGGGAAGGCUGCACUCAAAUGAAGGAUUAGCACAAUCAAACAAUAAUGCAAAGUUGAAAGAUAGUGCCAAACACGUAACAAGAGUUGCUGGUAACAAGGUAAAAUCGAAAGAACAGAGGCAAGGUGGAGAGGGCGCACCUCUUUUUUUUUUUUUUUUUUUUUUCCUGUUUUUUUUUUUUUUUUUUUUUUUUCACAGAGGGUGCCCCAAAACUGAUAAUAUGAACACAGAGGAUCUCAAAUAUCAAAUGGCGGCACACACUCUCUCUCUCUCUCUCUCUCUAGAGUAAGGCGGACCUCAGAAUAAUAAAGGACCAAGAAAGAGAGAUACGGAUGUGAAAGGCUGGCACGGAAUGCGUGGGGGAGGGGGGAAUUAACACCAGAGAGUCGUGACCCAGGAGGAGUCACGGCGCUCGCAAAGGGAGGUUCCACCGAAACAAAUCCGAAUCACCUUCCUUCUCCCUGUUGGAUUCUUCUUCGUCUUUUUUUUUUUUGCUUCUUUCCUUUUGUUUUUUUGCACUUUCCUUUUUUUUUUGAUUGCUUUCGAUCUUUUUUUUUUUGACAGGGGAGGGGCGAUCGGAGUAGUGGGAUGGCGCGGCGCGGUUGUCGCGGGGGGAGGUGCGGUGGGCGCGGCUGGUAGGGCAAGCAGCGGAACGGCGGCGGCGGCGAAAACUAGGGUUAGAUGAAAAAUGAGAAACAAAAGAUUAAACACAAGUAACCAGCAACAAUUGAACGAGUAGGCACACAAAUUCAACAAAGACACUUAUUGAAAGAAUGUGCGAGGCUAAACGGUUGCUGGGACAAAGGAUCUAACCUGAAAAAAUUUGUUUUGGUUUUUGUGGACUGUAGGAAGGGAAAAACACUCGGUAAAACUCACCGAUCAACCUGGAAAGCUGAUACCACUUGAUAGAGUCGGAGUGCCCGAUCUUUCGGUGAGUGGAGAUAAAUUCGAUUUGGUGGAAGUAGACCCUCACGAUCCGACUACGACGAGCGAACCCGAAGCGCCAAUGCAAUCGCUGAACCAACUCCCGAUGGUUACCAACCUCGCCGGUGCGAGAUCAGCCUGAUCACGAAGAUCAAUUCCUGUCUGCAAUCGAAGAACGAACAAGAAAAAGAGGCGAGCAAUCUAAAUAUCACUCGAAGGUGGAGUUCUGAAUCACACAAGGACAGCGCGUAUUUGCGCGUGUUCAAGGGUAGCUAAAGCUAGAUGUAAAACAAAACUCAAGUCGUAAACAAAAAGGACUCGGACUAAAUAAAGGGGGCGCAGCCCCUGGAGUCCGAAGGGGUCACGGCGCCCAACCCUAGGCGCCCCACCUGGGCUGCCCUGUUGGGCCAUCUUCUUAUUCCGAUGGGCCUUCGUUCCUUAACAGCAUGAUGAAGUUUAAUUCUCUCGCACGGGCUCGAGUGAUUGGCCCAACUGGAUGAGCAACUGUAGGCGCCUGAGGUGGAGGAGCAACUGGAGGCGCCUGAGGUGCUGCUGGUGUAGAUGUACUCGUGGUGUCCUCAUCAGUAUGUCUGUUCUCGUCAUCUCUGUCCGGUCAGCUUUCCAGUGGUUCACUAUGCUACCGCCCAAUUCCAUCAUUACUGGGGCCGAUCUGGAGAAACAAUUCCACAAGUACUUCUAUGCAGGAGUCCAUGAGAUGAAGCUCUCAGAUUUGACCAGCCUUAGGUAGAGGAGCGACGAGCCAGUGACCAAUUACGUGCAGAGGUUCAGAGAGGUCAGAAACAAAUGCUACACCCUAGUCCUGAUCGACGCUCAGCUGGUCGAUAUCGCCUUCCAAGGUCUCCUGCCACACAUCAAAGUGAAGUACGCCUCCCAGGAGUUCGAAAGCUUGAGUCAAAUCGUUCACCGAUUGGCCGGUCAAGAAGUACGCCCUUUUGAUCAGCGGAGAAAUUUUCAAAAGAAGGUGGCGUACUUGGAAGGAUCUGAAUCUGAAGAGGAAGCAGAAAUCGGUCUGGUAGAAUGGGUAAAAGGGAAAAAGCCGAUAUCAUGCCCAUUCGGGAAGAAAGAACUAGAGAUGUUCGGCUUUGACACGACAAAGGCCGAUAAGAUCUUCGACUUACUUCUCUAAGAGGGGAAGAUCAAGCUCUCACCCUACCACACCAUUCCAUCGGCCGAGCAACUCAAAAAGAUGAAAUAUUCCAAGUGGCACAAUGCCACAUCUCACGACACAAACGACUGCAAAAUCUUCCAUCAGCAGAUACAGUCGGCCAUUGAGCAAGGCAGACUCAAACUCGAAGUCCCGGCGAAGCUAGUAAAGCCGAUGAAGAUCGAUCUGUAGGGAUACGAGGUAGGCUACGCUAGCGCAAUACAAAAAAUUCUACCGUGUAUAACCAGGAAGAACUGCCGUAUAAGGAUCACGGGAUUACCACUCGACGCACUACUGGUGCGGAAGAUGUAGAUAUGCGUCGAUGCAGUGAAGACGAUCACGUAGUCGUACGUAGUCGAUCAACGUAGUCGUACGUAGUCGAUCAUGUCACGUCCAGCAGCUCCUCAUCAGCUCAUCCACGUGCAGCAAGAUCGCCUCCGGUGCCGCGGCUCGUCGUCGGCUCGUCGUGGCUCGUCGUGGCUUGUCGGCGGCUCGUCCAAGUGCUGCAGGCGCAACACCUCCAAGGUAUCCACACGUGCAGGGAGGAAGCGUCGCAAGCCGGACUGCUAGAUUCGCGAGUUGCAACAGGCGAGGGCGUGGGAGGCGCGGCAGGUGUGUUUCGCCAAAAAGGUGUCAACCCUAGGGCGCCCCCACCCCUCUAUUUAUAGAGGUUCCUGAUGGGCCUCUGGAUCCGAGGCCCAUUAGUACUUCUAAACCUAAUCCAACUCGGAUCAGAUCCAAAUUGGGCUUCCAGCCCCUUAAGUGUGUGACCCUAUGGGUUCGGAUACGUAUAGACAUGGCCCGAGUACUCCUACUCGGCCCAAUAGUCGGUAGCGGCCUCUAGCAAGAUGUGCCAACUCCUAUACGCACACGAAGAUCAUAUCAGACCAACCAUCACAACAUAAUAUACAUUCUAUUCCCUUUGCCUCACGAUAUUUGGUCUAGCUUCAAGCCGACCGCUCUUUCUCGAUCCUGUGAUUCGGAAUCCCUUUGUAGGUUAACUCUUAACCGUACAUAGCAUGGCCAUGCAUUUUCGGAUCCGAUCACUCGAGGGGCCCAGAGAUAUCACUCUCAAUCAGAGAGGGGCAAAUCCCAUCUUGAUUGACCAUGUCUCAUAGCAUGCUUCUUGCCAAACCCGAAAACUACCUUUAUAACUACCCUGUUACGGCGUAGCGUUUGAUAGCCCCUAAGUAGGUCGAUCCACAUGUAGAAUACAUGCGACAAUCUCAGGUCUAAGGACAAAGCGUAUAUGUUGUUUAAAGAGAGAACUACUUCUCGUGUUGGGUCAGUCCUAACACAUGUCUCCACAUGUGUCCACAUUAUUAGUUCAACAUCUCCAUGUCCAUGACUUGUGAAACAUAGUCAUCAACUAAUACAUGUGCUAGUCUAAUAUUCAUGUGUGUCCUCACAUGAACUCCGACUAGGGACAACUUUGGAAUAACCAUACAAGUAAAGAGUUUCACAUACAAUUCACAUAAUUGCAAAUCAAUUCAAGUAGCCUUCAAUGGAUAUUCAAUGAACACAACAUACAAAUCAUGGAUAAAAAUGGAAUAUCAUCAUCUCUAUGAUUGCCUCUAGGGCAUACCUCCAACACGAUCAACAUCCUUUCCCUACUAACAUAGUUGAUAUGGGAAGAAACGUGCUUCAAACCAAGGUGCUGACGUCGGAAUCAGCUAAGAGAAACGGCACCGUGGACCCCUGAAAUCAGGCCACGGUCGAGGAUGUCAAAGGGAAAAGAUGGGUCGAAGAUGAAGGCGAAGGAUCGGAGAGACCGCGUAGAACCAUCACCUCCCAAUUCUUGCUCAACAAGUAUCAGCGGCAGCAGGAAAGUUCGAGACACCGCGAAGAGAUGAUGCGCCAACAUGAAGAUCAUUGGCGAUGCCCGUUCUUCAUCCACUGCUGGGAAAAUAUGUUGGGAUACGAGGUAGGCUACUCUAGCGCAAAUGAAAAUUUUUCUACCGCGUAAACCAGGAAAACUGCCGUAUAAGGAUCACCGGAUUACCACUCGACGCACUGGUGCGGAAGAUGUAGAUUCACGUCGAUGCAGCGAAGUCGAUCAGCGUAGUUGUACGUAGUCGAUCACGUCGACGUCCAGCAGCACCUCACCAGCUCGUCCACGUCCAGCAAGAUCACCCUCGUGCCGCGGCUUGUCAUCGACUCGUCGUGGCUCGUCGGCGACUUGUCGUGGCUCGUCGACGGCUUGUCCAAGUGCUGCAGGUGCAACACCUCCAAGGUAUCCAAAUGUGUAGGGAGGAAGUGUCGCAAGCUAGACUACUAGGUCCACGAGUUGCAACAGGCGAGGGCGUGGGAGGCGUAGCAGAUGUGUUUCACCAAAAAGGUGUAAACCCUAGGGCACCCCCACCCCUCUAUUUAUAGAGGUUCCUAACAGGCCUCUGGGUCCGAGGCCCAUUAGUACUUCUAAACCUAAUCCAACUCAGAUCACAUCUGAAUUGGGCUUCCAGCCUCUUAAGUGUGUGACCCUAUGGGUUCGGAUACGUAUAGACAUGGCCCGAGUACUCCUACUUGGCCCAAUAGUCGGUAGCGGCCUCUAGCAAGAUGUGCCAACUCCUAUACGCACACGAAGAUCAUAUCAGACAAACCAUCACAACAUUAUAUACAUGCUAUUCCCUUUGCCUCACGAUAUUUGGUCCAGCUUCAAGCCGACCGCUCUUUCUCGAUCCUAUGAUUCAGAAUCCCUUUGUAGGUUAACUCUUAACUAUACGUAGCAUGGCCAUGCAUUUUCGGAUCCGAUAACUCAAGGGGCAAAUCCCAUCUUGGUUGACCAUGUCUCAUAGCAUGCUUCUUAACAAACCCGAAAGCUACCUUUAUAACUACCCUGUUACGGCGUAGCGUUUGAUAGCCCCUAAGUAAGUCAAUCCACAUCUUGAAUACAUGCAACAAUCUUAGGUCUAAGGACAAAGCGGAUAUGUUGUGUAAAGAGAGAACUACUUCUCGUGUUGGGUCAGUCCUAGCACAUGUCUCCACAUGUGCCCACAUUAUUAGUUCAACAUCUCCAUGUCCAUGACUUGUAAAACAUAGUCAUCAACUAAUACAUGUGCUAGUCUAAUAUUCAUGUGUGUCCUCACAUGAACUCCGACUAGGGACAAUUUUAGAAUAACCAUACAAGUAAAGAGUUUCACAUACAAUUCACAUAAUUGCAAAUCAAUUCAAGUAGCCUUUAAUGGAUAUUCAAUGAACACAAUAUACAAAUCAUGGAUACAAAUGGAAUAUCAUCAUCUCUAUGAUUGCCUCUAGGGCAUACCUCCAACAGUCUCCCACUUGCACUAGAGUCAAUCUAGAAGAUACCUAAUACCCAUAGCUCUUACAUGCGCAUCAUGCUUAGCCUGCGGGAGUGGUUUUGUCAAUGGAUCAGAAAUGUUCAGAUCCGUGUGUAUUUUGCAUAUCUUGAUCUCACCCCGGUUAACGAAGUCUCGAAUGAGAUGAAAUGUUCAGAUCCGAGUACUUAUCAUUGCAUACAUGAUAGAUCCAAUAGCCGAGGCAUAUGGCACUCUACUCAUGCGAUCCCGCUCAUCAGCAGUCGAAGGACACUGAGUCUUGCUGAGAUGUAUGCCAGGUGACAUAGGCAAGAACCCUUUCUUUGCCUCUUCCAUGCUGAACUGCUUCAACACUUUGUCAAUGUAAGUAUCUUGGCUUAAUCCUAUAAGCCUUCUCGAUCUAUCUCUAUAGAUCUUAAUGCCCAGAAUAUAUGCCGCUUCCCCUAAGUCCUUCAUAAAAAAAACUAUUUUUCAAUGAAGUCUUUACGGACUCAAGCAUAGGAAUGUUAUUUCCAAUCAGCAAUAUGUCAUCCACAUAUAAGAUUAGAAAUACUACAGAGCUCCCACUAACCUUCUUGUAAACACAAGACUCUUCUUCGUUCUUGGUGAAGUCAAACCCUUUGACCACUUCAUCAAAACGAAUGUUCCAACUCCUAGAUGCUUGUUUCAAUCCAUAAAUGGAUCUCUGAAGCUUGCAUACCUUUCCAGCAUUUUUCGGAUCGACAAAACCCUUAGGCUGUAUCAUAUACACGUCCUCAGCUAGGUUUCCAUUUAUGAAAGCUGUCUUGACAUCCAUCUGUCAUAUCUCAUAAUCGAAAUAUGCAACUAUAGCUAGAAUAAUCCGAAUGGACUUAAGCAUCACUACGGGCGACAAGGUCUCGUCGUAGUCAACUCCUUGAACUUGUCGAAAACCUUUUGCGACAAGUCGUGCUUUAUAGAUGUGAACAUUUCCAUCCAUGUCCUUUUUCUUCUUAUAGAUCCACUUGCACUCUACGGCUUUAACACCAUCAGGCGGGUCAACCAAGUUCCAAACUUGAUUGUCUCCCAUGGACUCUAUUUCGGAUUGCAUGGCACUCUGCCAUUUUUCGGAGUCUGGGUCCAUCAUUGCUUCUGCAUAUGUCGCAGGCUCAUCAUUGUCCAACAAUAAUAUUUCCUGCAUUUCACGGAGCCUUGCCAACCUUCGUGGUUGUGGCGGUGCCAUGGGUAUCUCAACUUGUUCUGCUACGUUAGCAUCACUCAUUGAUUCUUGCCCGAUCGGCUCAUCUUGAACUUCUUCAAGAUGCACUGUCUUUCCACUCUUUUCUCCUUUGAGAAACUCUUUCUCUAGGAAAACCCCGUUCCGAGCGACAAACACUUUGUCCUCUGACCGGUUCUAGAAAUAAUAUCCCAAAGUUUCCUUUGGAUAUCCCAUGAAAAUGCACUUAUGCAAUUUGGGUGUGAUCUUGUCCGAUUGAAGUCGCUUGACAAACACUUCACAUCCCCAAAUCUUUAGAAAAGACAAACUGGGAACCUUUCCAGUCCACAUCUCAUAUGGUGUCUUAACUACGGAUUUAGAUGGUACCCUAUUAAGUGUGAAAGCUGUUGUUUCUAGAGCGUAUCCCCAAAAUGAUAAUGGUAGGUCCGACUAGCUCAUCAUUGAUCGAACCAUGUCUAACAAAGUUCGAUUACGUCUCUUGGAUACACCGUUUCUCUAAGGUGUUCCAGGCGGCGUAAGUUGUGGAACAAUUCUGCACCUCUUUAGAUGAUUGCUAAACUCGUGGCUCAAAUACUCGCCUCCACGAUCAGAUCGUAAGACCUUAAUUUUCUUGCCACGCUAAUUUUCAACUGCAUUCUGAAAUUCCUUGAACUUUUCAAAGGUUUCAGACUUGUGCCUCAUCAAGUAGACAUAGCCAUAUCUACUAAAAUCAUCAAUGAAAGUUAUGAAGUAUUGGAAUCCUCCUCUAGCCAUCGUGCUCAUUGGUCCGCAUACAUCGCUAUGUACGAGUUCCAACAAGUCUACUGCUCUCUCAGGAAAACCUGUGAAAGGCGUCUUGGUCAUCUUGCCUAGCAAACAAGCCUCACAUGUCUCGUAUGAUUCAAAAUCAAACGAAGUUAGAAGUCCAUCAGAAUGGAGCUUGUUCAUGUGUUUUUCACUUAUAUGACCCAAACGACAAUGCCACAAGUAGGUAGGACUCAAAUCAUUAGGCCGAGGCCUUUUAGCACUUACGUUACAGACAGGUGAACCAUCAAGAUUUAAAACAAACAAUCCAUUCACAAUAGGUGCAAAAGCCAUAAACAUAUCAUUCUUAGAGAUCACACAACCAUUGUUUUCACUCGCAAAUGAAUAACCAUCCUUCAUCAAGCAUGAAGGAGACAAAAAUUUUCGACUUAAACUAGGAACGAAAUAACAAUUAUUCAACUCCAUAACAAAUCCUAACGGGAGGUGGAGUUGCAUCGUCCCGACAAUCAACGCAGCAACUCUUGCAUUAUUGCCCACAUGGAAAUCAACUUCUCCUCUUUCCAUGCUUCUACUUCUUAUCAUUCCCUGCAUCGAAUUGCAAAUAUGAGCAACCGAUCCGAUAUCAAAUACCCAAGAAUUAACAAUUGUAUCAGCGAGAAAUAUGUUGUCUAUAACAUUAAUAACAAGCGUACCUGAGGUGGAAGUACUCUUACUUCCGCCAUUCUUCAACGAAGCUAGGUACUGCUUGCAAUUUCUCUUCUAGUGACCAAGUUCAUGACAGUAAAAGCACUCUUUGUCUGGAGCAGGUCCAGGUCCAGCUUUCACCUUGGGCGCUGGGUUUGGCUUGGACGUUCCAUCCUUGCCCUUCUUCUUCCAAGAAUUGCCCUUCUUCUUAAAGCUAGGCUUGUUCUGUAUAGCCAUCACAUGGCUGCUACUAGCGCUUUUCUUGAUGACAGCCUCUAUUGUUUUAAGCAUGCCACACAGCUCAUUCACACCCUUCCCCGUCCCAUGCAUAUGGUAGUUCCAGAUGAAGUUCCCAUAGCUAGGCGGAAGAGAUGAAAGAAUGAAAUCAGUGGCCCACUCUUGGCCCAUUGGGAAGCCCAGCUUCUCCAACCGUUGAGUGUAACCAACCAUCUUGAUUACGUGUGGUCCUACUGCUGCGCCUUUUGCUAGCUUGCUCUCCACAAAGGCCUUAGACACAUUGAACCUUUCAGUCCUGGCCUGUGUUUGGAACAUGUCACUAAGCGCCACGAUCAUAUCGUGCGCCUCAUGGUUUGUUUCGAACUGCAUCUGCAGCUCGGGUUCCAUGCAAGCAAGCAUAAGGCAGCUUACUUCGAGGUUAGCAUCACAUGCUUUCUUGUAAGCAUUCUUAGCAGCAGCAGGUGCAUCAUCAACAGGUUCUUCUGGUAGUGGGUUGUCUAGAACAUCUUCCUUUUUCUUAGUCCUGAGAACAAUUCUCAGGUUACGGAUCCAAUCCGAGUAGUUUGUUCCAUUCAACUUGUCCUUCUUAAGGACCGAACGCAAAGCAAACGGUGUAGUGCUGCUAGGUGCCAUUUAAUCUACAACAAAAAUAAUGCAAAAUACACUAAGACAAAUGUAUCCAUGAUAGAGCAAAUCACAUUAAACUAUUUUAACAGAAUCUACUCCCACUAAAACCAAUAUCCCUCUAUUGAUACUUAGUGAUUCAGGAUCCACAACUAACAAGUCUACUAGUGAGCUUUAGCAUCACCGCUAGCAAACAAGGUAGAUCGGUAAGCAACUUUUACUAAUCAUAUCACAUAUGACUCCUGUUGUUGGGUGACAUCUCCAUGUCUCGGCGCCCAACCUUUAUGCCCCAAGGUCCUUAACCGUUAAGAUAACCUUAUUAAGCAAACCAACCCUUAUGCAUGUAAGUGUCCGACACAAACCCGUCUAGUCAAGGAAAACUAGUGGCACCCUAAUUUCAUAGACCCACCACUAAUUGUACAAGACAUGGGAUGGUGCAAGUUUUAGUUGGGAGGGCAUACUAACUUAAACAUUGUGAGGGAUCGUUCUACUUCUAACAUCACAGCAUGCAGAAAGUAAAACAUAAAUAGAAUAGCAUUCAUACAGUUGUGACACAGUAUGGCCCGUUCUCUUAUGGUGAUCUCCAUCUCCACAGAACCUGUUCACCAUGGUGAUCUCCAUCUCUAUGUUCCAUGUGCGCCAUCCUCCUGGUGAUGAGUCCUCCAAGAACUAGAACAUGCUAUUACACCUAAUGGCUAGUAAAGAAGCUAGCAAUAAAGAUUACAUAGUUGCUUGGAUCAUCACAGAUUGGUACGCAGACCAUUAAAUACAUUAAAGUGACAACACAUAUAGCUCCAGUUGUGUUGCUGUACGCGUGACGCGCAGGUCACGAGUGAGUUACACACAUGCAUCACAUACACAAAGGGGCCAUACUGAUCACAAGAUACAUACAUCCUGCAAAACAGAGUUAAGUGUCCUAACGUUCCAAUUUUCGGAGGCCCGAAACUCCAUCUUCCAAGACAAAUUUGGGAAAUCUAAUUUUGCCAAAAAUGGCAAAGCGGUUGAAUUUCAUGUGUAACCUUUUCUGUAGAUCAAUUUUCAUAUAAAAUUUGCCCCGAUCCGAGAUCGUACCGAAAAGUUAUGGCUGAUUUACCGAAGCACACGCACACGGCAAAAUCUCGACCCGGUAGUAGAUCCAAUCUACUAUAGCACAUCACAUGCGCCUGGCGUAUGAACCUGGAUUUCGAUUCGACCAAUCACAUUGAUCUUCGCUCACUGCAACUGGAAUUACGUGUAUCACUUAACUCCGAUGGUGGAAACCUGACCGGUAGGAGUAUGUCGUUACACUACCAUUGCAGCAAGAACACGAAACCAGGACAUAGAUCGAACUGAAAACUCGCAUAUCUCCAUAUGCACACAUCCCGAAUCCAAAACUAAACAGCUACGGCUCUGAUACCACUGUUGGGAUACGAGGUAGGCUACGCUAGCGCAAAUCAAAAUUUUUCUACCGCGUAAACUAGGAAAACUACCAUAUAAGGACCAUGGGAUUACCACUCGACGCACUGGUGCGGAAGAUGUAGAUUCACGUCGAUGCAGCGAAGUCGAUCAGUGUAGUCGUACGUAGUCGAUCACGUCGAUGUCCAACAGCUCCUCAGCAGCUCGUCCACGUGCAGCAAGAUCGCCCUCGUGCCGCGGCUCGUUGUAGCUCGUCGGUGGCUUGUCGUGGCUCGUCGGCAGCUCGUCCAAGUGCUGCAGGCGCAACACCUCCAAGGUAUCCACACGUGCAGGGAGGAAGCGUCGCAAGCCGGACUGCUAGGUCCGCGAGUUGCAACAGGCGAGGGCGUGGGAGGCGCAGCAGAUGUGUUUCACCACAAAGGUGUAAACCCUAGGGCGCCCCCACCCCUCUAUUUAUAGAGGUUCCUAACAGGCCUCUGGGUCCGAGGCUCAUUAGUACUUCUAAACCUAAUCCAACUCAGAUCACAUCCGAAUUGGGCUUCCAGCCCCUUAAGUGUGUGACCCUAUGGGUUCGGAUACGUAUAGACAUGGCCCGAGUACUCCUACUCGGCCCAAUAGUCGGUAGCGGCCUCUAGCAAGACGUGCCAACUCCUAUACGCACACGAAGAUCAUAUCAGACGAACCAUCACAACAUUAUAUACAUGCUAUUCCCUUUGCCUCAUGAUAUUUGGUCCAGCUUCAAGCCGACCGCUCUUUCUUGAUCCUAUGAUUCGGAAUUCCUUUGUAGGUUAACUCUUAACUGUACGUAGCAUGGCCAUGCAUUUUCGGAUCCGAUCAGUCGAGGGGCCCAGAGAUAUCACUCUCAAUCAGAGAGGGGCAAAUCCCAUCUUGAUUAACUAUGUCUCAUAGCAUGCUUCUUGACAAAUCUGAAAGCUACCCUUAUAACUACCCUGUUGCGGCGUAGCGUUUGAUAGCCCCUAAGUAAGUCGAUCCACAUCUUGAAUACAUGCGACAAUCUCAGGUCUAAGGACAAAGCGUAUAUGUUGUGUAAAGAGAGAACUACUUCUCGUGUUGGGUCAGUCCUAGCACAUGUCUCCAAAUGUGCCUACAUUAUUAGUUCAACAUCUCCAUGUCCAUGACUUGUGAAACAUAGUCAUCAACUAAUACAUGUGCUAGUCUAAUAUUCAUGUGUGUCCUCACAUGAACUCCGACUAGGGACAACUUUAGAAUAACCAUACAAGUAAAGAGUUUCACAUACAAUUCACAUAAUUGCAAAUCAAUUCAAGUAGCCUUUAAUGGAUAUUCAAGGAACACAAUAUAAAUCAUGGAUACAAAUGGAAUAUCAUCAUCUCUAUGAUUCCCUCUAGGGCAUACCUCCAACAAAAUAACCUCAGGUUACCGUCAGCCGAUAAUUGCCCUGAGUGCAACAAUCCAUAUCAUGACAAUCGCCCGUUCAAGAGGUCAUGCUCCAGAGACAGAGGAUUAGAGCCGAUCAGCAGAAACUAGCGCGAGCAAGAGGAUCGGUGCCUUUCAGUGCGUGAUUGGAUGGGGGGCAGAGUUGACCGGUAUGAUCGGCCAAGGGGCAGACUUGAAUAGUAUGAUCGGCCGGGGGGUAGGAUUGACCAGCACAAGUGGCUGGGGGGCAGAGCCAGCACACACGAUCGGCUAGAAGAGAUGGCCGACGCCAGGGUGUCAGAUGAAAACCCCCUAAGACGGGAACCAGAUUGGGAGCACGCCAAACCGCCGGCCAAACCGGUGAACCCCAGGUGGUGCCUUGAUGGAUUGACCAAAUCCAAAAAAUGAAGAAUCCAACGUCUGCGCCAAUGGGAACAACAAGAAGAAGAGCAGAGGCAGAUGGUGGAUAAGAAAGAUGACAGGUCUCGAGAAUGGCGCCCCAAAAAAACAACAAUGAGGAAGGCGAUAAUCAGGAAUCGGCAGUUGAUGUCAGAAUGGUGUUCAUCUUGCCGAUGGAGUUCAUGGCUCCCGCCGAUCGGGACGACACGACAAAGAUGGAGGAGAAAAUGGCACAAUUGGCUUUGGAGCCAAUGACAGCCACUUUUGAGAAACCAGAAGAUGAAAAACGACAACAUCUCAAGGCUCUAUUCCUCAAAGGACACGUCAAUAGGUGACCUGUCACCAGGCUACUGGUGGAUGGAGGCACUGCAGUCAACAUUAUGCCGUAUGCCAUGUUCAGGAAACUAGGCAAAAGCGAUGAAGAUCUGACCAAGACGAACAUGAUGCUUAAAGACUUCGAAGGCAACGUGUCGCCCGCGGAGCGCUUUGCGUCGACCUUACCAUUGGCAGUAAGACCCUUCCCACUACUUUCUUUAUUAUUAAUGGCAAAGGGUCCUACAAUAUGUUGCUCGGUCGCGAUUGGAUACACGCGAAUUGCUGCAUCCCGUCUACGAUGCACCAAUGCCUCGUACAGUGGGUCAGCGACAACAUCAAGAUAGUCACCGCCGAUUCCGCCUACAGUGUUGUUGCGACCGACACGCAACAAUGGAGCUGCGAGUACGUCAAGUGCAUAUCCGGUAGAACCUGGGACACUGAUUUCCUGAAAGUGUCCGAUUUUAGCCUACAGCCGAUCCGUGCAGUCGGCUUUGAAGAUUCAGAUUAGAUAGUCAGUUCGUCCGAGAAGAUGGGAAGCUUGCACACGGAUUUAUGUUGGCCGAUUCAUUGAAGAUGGUGGAUUUAGGAGAUGGUAGCAAGCCAAGGCCGAUGUAUAUUAGUGCUAGCUUGGAUCCCUAGUACAAAUAUAAAUUGACAAAUUUAUUGAAAGAAUUUAAAGAUUGUUUUGCUUGGGAAUACCAUGAGAUACCUUGUCUAGACCGGUCCAUUGUCGAACACCGGUUGCCUAUAAAAGCAGGAUAUCGGCCGUAUCAGCAGCCCGCACGAUGGUGCAACCCUAAAAUUCUGCCUGAUAUAAAGGCCAAAAUUACAAGAUUGAUUGAAGCAGGAUUUAUUCGGCAGUGCCGUUAUGCCGAGUGGAUUUCUAAUAUCGUACCUGUAUACAAGAAAAACGGAAAGCUGUGCGUGUGCAUUGACUUCAGGAACCUUAAUCAGACUACACUGAUGGAUGGGUAUCUAAUGCCGAUAGCUGAUGUUUUGAUAGAUGCCACCGCAGGACAUAAAGUCAUUAGUUUCAUGGACGGUAAUGCUGGGUACAAUCAAAUAUUAAUGGCCGAAGAAGAUAUUUCGAAAACGGCUUUCAGGUGUCCGAGCCACCUCGGUUUAUUCAAAUGGGUAGUAAUGACGUUUGGAUUAAAGAACUCCGGCGCUACAUAUCAACGGGCUAUGAAUUAUAUUUUUCACAAGCUUAUUGGUGCACUUGUGGAAAUCUACAUUGAUGACGUCGUGGUCAAGUCAAAAGGGCAUCAGGAACAUCUAGCCAAUUUACGAGAAGUGUUGGAGUGCACAACAAAGCAUGGGUUGAAAAUGAACCCGAACAAGUGUGCAUUCGGCGUGUUGGCCGGACAAUUCCUAGGAUUCAUGGUCCAUGAGUGUGGAAUAGAAGUCAACCAGAAGAUCAUAGCUGCCAUAAACAAGGUUGUAGCCCCGCAGAAUAAAACUGAGCUGCAGUCCCUAAUCCGCAAGGUCAACUUUAUCAGAAGAUUCAUAUCCAACUUGUCCAGGUGCAUUCAAGCUUUCACUCCUUUGUUGAAAUUGAAACCCAAUCAAGAAUUCAUGUGGGGGGGAAGAACAACAAAAAGCGUUGGAAGACAUCAAGCAAUAUCUGGUUUCGCGACCUGUAUUAGUCCCGCCACAGGCUGACAAGCCUUUCAGACUAUACUUAUCGGCUGAUGAAUGGGAUAUCGGAUCGGCAUUGGUACAGGAGUUCGAAGGAAAAGAACGAGUAAUAUAUUUUGUCAGCAGAAGACUCCUGGACGCCGAAACAAGAUAUUCCCCGGUAGAGAGGAUGUGCCUGUGUCUGUAUUUCUCAUGUACCAAACUCAGGCACUAUCUGUUAUUGGCAGAGUGCAUAGUCGUGUGCAAGGAUGACGUAGUAAAAUACAUGCUAUCGCCGCCAAUUUUGAAAGGACGAAUUAGGAAAUGGAUCCUAGCUCUGUCAGAGUUUGACCUGGUACGAAUCGGCCAAAGCUGUCAAGGGUCAAGUCAUGGCCGAUUUCGUGGCCCAGCAUUGCGGACCGGAAAUCGCUGUCGUUGAACCAGUUCCAUGGACUCUAUACUUUGAUGGUUCUUCAUGUGGGGUCGGGUCAGGAAUCGGCAUCGUCCUCAUAUCGCCUCGGGGGGCAAGUUAUGAUUUCUCUCUGCCGAUAGAAGCAUCUGCGACCAAUAAUCAAGCGGAAUAUCCAGCUAUCCUAAAGGGCAUCCAAUUGUUGAGAGAGAUCAAAGCUGAUGCUGUGGAAAUUUUUGGGGAUUCCAUGCUCAUCGUAGAUCAAUUAACGGGGAGAUCUGAAUGCAAAGAUGACGUCUUAAGGAUUUACUAAGAAGAUUGCCUCCAACUUUUAAAAGAAUUCAAGUCCACGGUUAUUGAGCAUAUUCCUAGAAAUUACAAUGAGGAGGCCAAUAGGCUUGGCCAACACGUGUCCGGGUAUCGGCUGAUUUAAGGUGCAAUUUCUCUGGAACUUGCGGCCGGCAAUUGGCGAAAGGAGAUCGCCGAUUACUUGAAGGAUCCGUCCAAGAAAGUCGAUCGGCAAGUGCGUUUUCAAGCCACGAAAUAUGUGCUGCUCGAAGAUGAUUUGUUUUACCGAAUGAUUGAUGGAGUUCUACUCAAAUGCUUGGGAAUGGAAGAAGCAAAGGUCCUGAUGGGAGAAAUUCAUGACAGCGUGUGCGGAGCUCACCAAUCGGCUCACAAAAUGAAGUGGAUGAUUAGAAAUAACGGGUAUUUUUUGCCAACGAUACUCGAAGAUUGCUUUAAAUAUUAUAAAGGGUGUCAAGACUGUCAUAAGUUUGGCAACAUGCAGCAUGCACCAGCCUCAGCUAUGAUCCCGAUAAUCAAGCCAUGGCCGUUUAGAGGUUGGGGAAUAGACCUUAUUGGACAGAUUUAUCCUCCAUCAAGCAAGGGACAUAAGUUUAUAUUAGUAGCCACUGACUAUUUUACUAAGUGGGUGGAGGCAGUUCCUUUGAAGGCCGUGACAUCGGCCGCUAUGGUCGAUUUCGUAAGGGACCACAUUGUUUAUCGGUUCAGUAUCCCUCAAACCAUCACAACUGAUCAAGGGACGAUGUUCACUUCAGGAGAGUUCAAGGAAUUCGCCGCCGAUAUGGGAAUUAAGUUGUUGAAUUCUUCUCUGUAUUAUGCUCAAGCUAACGGUCAAGCUGAAUCAUCCAAUAAGGGGAUAAUCAAGUUGAUCAAGAGGAAGAUAGAAGAACAACCUAAGAAGUGGCACCUAUGUUUAACUGAAUCUUUAUGGGCUUACAGGAUGGCCUGCCACAGGGCCACCAAAAUAUCUCCUUAUCAAUUGGUAUAUGGUCACGAGACAGUAUUGCCUUGGGAAUUAAGGACGGGGUCAAGACGCACAUCGCUUCAAGAUCAGUUGAUGGCUGAUGACUAUUCCCUCCUCAUGAAGGGAGAGCUCGAUGAUUUGGCAGGUCAGCGAUUAAGGGCCUUGAUCAGCAUUGAAGAAAACAAGAAAACGGUGGUCAGGUGGUACAAUAAGAAGGUCAAGGUCAAACAAUUCUUCCAAGGAGAUUUGGUAUGGAAGUUGGUGCUGCCGAUAGGGUCUAAGGAUCCCAAGUUCGGUAAAUGGUCACCCACUUGGGAAGGGCCAUAUAAAAUCGGUCGAUGCGCACCGGGAAACGCAUAUAUACUGGAAACGAUCAAAGGAGAGGAAUUCACAAGGGCCUUGAACGGAAGAUAUCUGAAGAGAUACUAUCCUAGUAUAUGGGUGGAUGCGUAACUGACGAUAAGGUGCAUCAAGAUGACAUGGCCAACUCCUAUUGGCUCCUGUUGGUAUAGCCGAUGCAAAGAUAACAUCACCUUAAGAACGAAACAUUCGACUAAUCUGGCCGAUUUAUUAUUCGGUACAAAUGAUAGGGUACAUAGUUAACACGGUACAAGUCGCCCUUAGAACAAAAGUACCAACACAUUUAUUGACCAUGCUUUUUCUUAAUCUCCCUCUCAAUCCAACCUAAUUCUAUCAAGAGGCGGAUGCUCUUUUCCUCCAGGUCCUCCAUGGCGGCUUCAACCUCGACUUGACGAGGAAGGGGGUGGCUCCUGUCAAGAGGUGGUUGGGAUGUUCCCGCUGCGACAUUCUCGAGGGCGACCAGGCGAGGGAGCGGUUGACUCCUUUCAGUUGGCGGCCUCCUGGAGCAGUUGGUGUCCAUAUGGUCCAAAAUCCUCUAAAUGUUAGCGGGGAUAUGAUCUUUGAGUUCUUUGGGAUGAGCCUUGAUCAGAUCUCUGUCCGCCUGCGACAGCGGUUCAUCAGAAUGCAUGACCUCGAUCACUCAUUCCAGUUCAGGACUAAGGCGCCUCGGCUGAAAAAAGUAGCAGGUAGCCGCCCGGCGUCAGAUCAAUUGAAAUAUCAGACGGAGGAACAAAAGAAGAUUUCGUACCUGAUUAACAAAAAAGGAAGGAGAGGAAGAAGACAUCUCGACAAGUAGUCUGAGGGUAUGGAGAUCAAACUACUAGAGGAAAAGAGGACGAGCAAUGUGAAUAUCUUUGGAAACGAUAUAGGGCCUCAUACUUAUAGAAGGAAUAGGGCGAGGGGUUGGUGAGACGCGUCCCAUCGGAGUAAAAGGGUUAAUAAAUGAAAGGCUGUCACAAAGGACGGUUCUGGUUUGAAUCCACACGUCAACGGCCAAAGGACAUUAAUGUUUUUACAGAGCAUUCUAUUUUUACAAUUUACCCGAGAAGGGCAUUAAUAGCCGCAAUCGCUCGCUGCCUAACCUGAUCGGCCGAGUCUAAAAUUCGCUGGUCGUCGGCGGCCGAUCCAGGGACUUCUAGCAUAUGGCGAUGGAGCUUGAUUGCUUCAUGGGCCAGGCUCUACCUCUCUUGCUUCAACUCGGCGAUAACAGAGGGAAGGUCUUGGAGUCUUUUCUCUUCAACAGCUAUGGCUUUAGUCACCUGCUCCAUCUCCUUGGCAAGCUCUACCCUUCGACGUUUGAGGCGGUCUAUGGCACCAACGAUAUCUGGGCGAGAGCUUUCAAGGAAGCUGAUUCACUGAUGCACCUCUUGAGCUCGAUGCUUGUAGGAGUCUUCCUCCUCGCGGGCUUUUGCUAGUUUGGCGCGAUCGGCCAUGUGGCGCAAGGCCCUGAACACUGGAAUCCACAUUGAUUCGAUGUAUGCGGCGGGUGCUAGAGCCUCUUCCACCUCUUCUGGAACUCGGCCUCUGAUUUCACUGAGGAGUCACCGAAUCGGCAAGGCAUCUUCCACUAGUCGGCCGAUGUCGUCUUGGAGGAGGGUUUGUAUGCUCUGAAGCUUGGCGCGGACGUCAUCGGGGAUCGAGCUCAGUGUGAUUUGGCGCGAGGCAACCUCUUCAUCGUCAGAAAGUGCAACCGCGAAGGAAAAAAGACUGUUGUUGGGAGUAUCCUGCUCUUGCGAAAGAAUAAGAAAUAAAAAUAAUAAUAAUACAGGUUAGCCGACGGUAAUGGGAAAUUGGCCGAUUUGGGUGACAAGUUUCUUACCUCUUUGAAGUGGAUUUCUUCUGCUUUCGCUGGCGGGAGUGCUACCCUCAUCUCGGGAACUAGCGUGACUGGUUCAUCAGAGGAAGAAGAUUCGACGAUUAUUGGUGCCCUGCUCGGGCUAGCCUCCUGGAAAGGUACGGGAAGCAGAUUUUUAUAAUGCAAAUGAUUAAGUUUGAUGAUAUAUAAUGACUGCCAUACCUCUGUGGGUUGCCCGGCCGAUGGUUGUUGGAAAGGUACAAUCGAUGUGCCCAGGGUAGCCUGUAUCAAAAUCAGUUAGCUUUUGGUUAAGUAUCAAAAAAUUGAGUUAAAGGACUUUCUACCUCAGUGGGAGGAAUUGCUGGCAUUCUGGUUUCUGCCUGGAGUGUAGCCGAUUGCUACGGAGAUUGUACUGGGGUGAUUUGCGCAGCCUGACAGAAAGAAGAAGUUGAUAUCGACAGAAUGCUUAGAAGGAUGUGAGGUGUACGAAGUUACCGAACAGCUUCUACCAGCAGUGAUGCCGCAGUCGCUCCAUCUUCUGUAGCAGCUUGGGGAUCGACUUCCUCAAUAAUCGGCAGAGUCGGUGCAGCUAGAGAUUCAGCCGAUGCCGCCGCCGACUGAUCAGCCAGUUCUAAUGGGCGCGCACUACUCAGUGACUUGUCUUCUUUGAAGAGGUUUUCUUCGACGUCUGUUUCGAUUGGCCGGUGGUGAUCUUCAAUGGAUGGGGCAUGAUAGUCGAUGAGUGGGAAUGGUGUGUAUGGGUAGCGAUUCUCUAUCGGCCUACCACUCUGGCUGCGCGUUGGAGGAAGUCGACUUUCGGACUGCAAAAGGAAAAUAAGAAUUAGUGGUAAAAUUUGUAACAGAAAAGGAAAUGAUAUUGAAAUCAGCUAAGAAGAGAGCAUGUACUGCUGCGUUUGGGUUGAUGUUGUCAGGGUCCAGAUCAUUGCAAUAUGUUGCAGGGGUUGCACAAAAGAAGUGCUGCUUCCAUUCUGUCCACCAUAGCUUGAAUUGUUGGACAGCAAAAGGAGCCACUAUCCAAUUGUUUAGAUCAAUGGUACUGGAGUCCGGCACUAGAUUACACAGCCGAUUGUAAUCGAGACCCUUGGUGAGCUCGUCCCGAAAUUUUGCGCGGCCGGCAAAGUAAACCUGAAUCGACAGCUGACCGAGGCCAAACUGUUGUGCUGCAACUAAUGGAUUGUAAAACUCAUAAGUUGCGGAAUCCUUCCCGGAGAAGAAGUUUGUUGGUAAGAUCCUUGGCUUGAUCAAGGCAUCCGUGAGAUCGUUGUCAAAAGAGUUGGACGUCGAAUCAUAACAGAAGGGAAGCUCAAAAAGCAGCUCUGUUCUCUGGUACGGGUACCAACUGGUAGUUUCUUCACUAAAGCUGUUGUAAAAGCAUCUAAAAUACUCGGCUGUCUGGGUGGUGGUGAACUAGCAACCAGGUAAAGCUGAUGCCGCUUCGCUAAAAGAGGUGCACCGUCAUCGUACUGUGGGGUUUUCCUCUGACUCGAUGUUGGGAAAUGUCUUGGUCUCUAUCUGCUGCUGGGAGAUCUUGCUCAUGUACAAAUUAAGCUAGAGGGUGAUGAACCAGCAAGGGCCACCAGGGUUACCAAUCGGCUCUCCCUUUGACAGUUUGACGCCGAUCUGGUGCAUCAUAUGGUAGGCCGAUCCCAAUAGGUGUUUCCCUAGAGGGACGCUUGAUCCUCUUGACAGGGCUUCGGCCAAAGCUUGUGUCUUGGAAGAGGGACUGACUACUCUGCCACAGAAAAGAUGCUUCUCUAGCCACAUCAUCAAAAAGGCCGCGUAUUCUCUCUCUAAAAUUGUCCCGGUCCUCAUGUUUUUGUUGAUAUACCCCUUCCACCCGCUGAUUCCUUUUGUUUCCAGCCGAUGGGUCGACUUGAUCAUAUAAUUAAAGGGUGUAUCGGGGGAGGAAAUGUCAAGUCCGGUCAGCAUCAGAACAUCGGCCAGAGUUGGGGUCAUGGGUCCGUGCCCGAAGAGGAAUGCGUUAAGCGCGUCGGACUAGAAGUAGGAGGCUGCUAUUACCAAGGGUUCAUUUUUCUCCAUCUGGGACAAAGAUAGAUUGAUGCACUGGCCAAUUUUUAAUUCAUCCCAUUGAACUCUCUUGGAGUUGGCCAUUCUUUGGUACCAUUCUUUCCAGCCGGGAGUUUCAUUCAGCCAAGAUCUGAAAGUGCCUGACCAAUGGUUCAAAUCCAUAGGUGAUUGCUUAAAAGGGAUUCUAUGGGUUUCUAAAUUAAUCAGAUCAGUUGGGUCUGGGUUCCCCAUAGGGCCUAAGCAGAUGAGACCAGGAGCUUCGGAAAGGCGGAUAGUGAUUUGGUGUCUGACCGCCUAAAAAAGGCAAAAAGGGAAGGACUAAGAAUAGAUCUAAAAGAUGCAUGGGCGGUAAAAGGUAAAAGAGAAAGGUUUUGGAUGUUUACCUCUGGGAUAAAGCUCAUUGUUGCUGAUGGGGUCGCUGAUGGAACCGCCGUCGAUGGAGCUGCCGUCGGAGCCUCCGUUGCUGGUGGAGUCGCUGAUGGUGCCGCCAUUGAAGGGGUGAAGCGGAAUGCAGACGAAACAAGGAUCUCCGGAGAAUGCGGUUGGAAGCCAAAGGGGCGCUGGGAGAAGAUGAAAAGUGAUUCGCUAGAGAGGAAGUUACCGAGCUCGUGGAGAAGAAGUGGCAGGGAACGCCAAUAUUUAAAGACAGUCCGAGCGGGAUUUUUACCGCGCCGUCUACACGAAUUUUAGGGGAGCGGUUGUCUCAGGCGUCCAGUUCGAAAAGAUUGCAAUCAUCAGGAAGAAGACCGCAAAACAGAAGGAGAUUUUUGCCACGUUUUUUCGGAGGAGAGGUUAAAAAAGAAUUUUUGAAGUAAAAGUCAUGUUUUACUCCGAAACUGGGGGGCAUGUGUUGACACCAGAUUUUGACACGUAUGGGAUCGGCAUCAAGAGAGGAAAGGAUUGGCCGAUACGGCAGAUUAAAAGGUUACGGUUGGGAAUCGGCUGGCUGGUGCUACAGUUGGGAAUCUAACGAUUGGCGCUACAGUGUUUCGGGCGUUUGGGCCAAUAUGGGAUUAAGGUGAGCCAGAAAAAGAAGAUAGAGAAAGAUUGGCCCGUGGGAGUAUGAUAACCAACUCUGAUACGAGUUGUGUUUGUAAAUAUUCAUUUUUGUUUUAAAUUAGAGAUAGAUCCUAGUCGGUUAGGAAAUUAGUUGUAACAGGCUAUAAAUAACCAUCUUUAGAGAUUUGUAAAGAACACAUCAAUCAAUACAAAUAAUCUACUUUUUCAUCAUACUUUACUUUCAAGUCGGCAACUUCGCCAAUACAUCUUUUUCUUUCACGAGUUCGUACGGGUUGGCAGGGCUGCAUCGACACGAUCUCUAGCCGAUUCUGUAAGUUUCGUUUAUCGAGUAAUAUCUAGGCUUUAACUAUUGGAGGUAUGCCCUAGAGGUAAUCAUAGAGAUGAUGAUAUUCCAUUUGUAUCCAUGAGUUAUAUUCUGUUCC